CUCUACCUGUGCUACACUCUUCUUUCUAGCCUUAGAGAUUUCUCAAAGAAUUGAGGUCUUGGAUUUAAAUUUUCAAUUAUACAAUCCAGAUUCUUCUCAUUGCAAUUCGAAUCACACUUAUCAGACAAGUGUAGCAGGAGAACAGCAGAUGUUAUAAACAGUAAUAAAAUAAAGAAAACAAAGAUAAUAUUCAAAAAGGUGUCUGUUUAUGUAUAUAACUUUUUCGUGCAAAAAUAAGAUGUAUACAGAAAUUCAUUGAAAUUCGACCAUGAAGUCAAAUAUAUAUGUUCAUAACUAUCUCCGUUGGAUGACAGUUCUGCUUAAAAAGAAUGAAAAAUUAAAGAGUUUUCUGUACAAUUUGUCACAACUAAUAUCUAUGUCAGUCUUCUUUAACGAGAUUUAGCAUUGAAGCCAAGAAGUGAGUUGUAAGAAAGCAUCUUCACUGCAAGGAAUUGUGAGACCACCCAUUGGAUGAUCAUAUCCAAACUCUUCUUCUGAUUGGCUUAAUAACUAUUGAAAUGAAGAUUGAUUCAAUAAUGAAAUAGGAAUCAGAAAUCUCUUCAUUUUGUCUCCAACAUAAACUGCGAGAUAGCCUUUUGGGAUUCCAUCCACAGUCUUGGAAGAUGACCUUCUAAUACCAGGUAACCGGAAUCCCAUAUUGUUAGUUGUACACACAAACAAUGCAAUAACUUGUGUAUAAAAGAGAGAAAUAUUUGAAUUUGUAUGUUGUGAGUUGCUUGUUUUGGUGAUUUAGAAUGUAAUGAUGAGUAUAUAUAGAUAGAUAAAGGAGUCUCUGCCAACUAAUGAAUUGUGUGGUUGUGUUAGUUUUGGGCUAUUAUUUGAUAAGAGAUAAGGGCCAAUGAGAGGUCACAUGGUAUUUUUUUCAUGGUUUUUUAAUUAUAUAAAGGGUUACUUCAGACUUAAAAACUCAUGCCAACUCAGUUUCCCCUUUAGAAAGAGACUUUACAACCACUAAGCCAAUUUUCACAUUCUUGCAGCAGACAAGCUCAAAACACAUAUAUCAGAAAAUUGGUUUGUCAAAUUGUUGUUUAACAACUAGGAAUUGGUUUGUCAAAUUAUUAAAUAAUGAAAUUUGAGAUAAGGGAAGACCACAGUUGGUGACAAUAUACUAUCUGGUGUUACUGUUACUUGGAAAUUGGCAGACAUGGUGGUCCGAGUGUUGUGCCAACAACUUGAUUAAUCAAUAAUCCAGAAAGAAAGAAAAAAUCCACUGCUUUGAAGUAGUUAUGUGAAAUCAGUCACUUCCUCCCAGUAACAUAAGUAGUGCAAGAAGUCCAUCAGUUAUGUAAUCAAAGCAUGAAAAGUUUAAAAUGUUGUGUACACAGCUAAUUAAUAACUGAGUCUCAUAUAGACUUCAUAACUCAAAUUUGGAGUUUUUUAUUGGUAUGCUAAAUUGCUUUGACCAGACAAAUAUAUUGUUAAUAUUGUCAAGCCAACGUUCUGUUUUGUUAUCCUAUGGUCUUACUAUGAAGCACUUAAGGUACUUAAGAUUCAAGGCAAUUAGUAAACAGAUUGGAUAAGUAACUUAAGGCUAAUAGAUGUAGAAAUUUUGGUUUUUCAGAAGAACUUAAAUUAGUUUUUUUCUUCUAUUUUCCAUGGUCACUGAGUUAGCUAGAAUGACAAAUUUUCAAAUUUUACAGCAACUUUCAUUGACCAUCAGCCCAAGUAGCACUCCGAAUCUGAUAAAUACAACUUCAUCGAUGAAUUUCGAAAAUUCCAAGGCGUAUCUAAAUAUUCAGUAGACAUAACUCAAUAGAAAAUUCAAAGAUGCAAAACUCAAUACUAAGUCAUUGUUAUUGGCUAUAUUAUCUGUCAGGACCCAAAAUUCACAAUCGUGACCGGCGCACGAACUAGAACAUCCUAGUUCGGCAAGCCUAUUGACGACACUUGGCAACUAUAAUUUAAACAAUUUUCAAUAUGACUUAAAAUGAUAUCCACUGAAAUUUCGACAGAGCAUCCUCUGUAUUUUGAAUAUUUUCCAAGACUUUAAUCCUGUUUAUGAACCUGUAUUCUCAUCCAGAGUUUCAAAAAGACAUAUUUACAUAUUUGUACAUCUCAAAUAAAACAUUCCUAGACUCCAAAUAGCUGCAGAUACUCUGAUUCAACAUAUACAUAAACAAAAGAGACAUCCAUCAAAGAAGCCUACCAAAAAGAGUGACACGGCUGAACUUUGAGUCUACUAGCAGCUUCCUACUUAGCUGCUUGAAAAUCUGAAAAAAAUAGAAAAUAAAAGAGUAAGUCACAAGGACUUAGUGAGAGACAACAACCACCACCAACUAGAAGGGAAACACACAAGGGCACGAUUAUUUAUUUUUCUCAAAUCUAAUUUUUAACUUACAAGGCUAGUAACGGUAUAAAAAUAUAAUAAAUUCACAAUCAAGUGUACCAUGAAAAUUCAUAAAACUUUGUAAUUUUAUCAAACCAAAUAAGACUAUAUCAAAAUUUCAAUGUCGUCAAGAGGUGAAACCAAAUCCACAACUUUAAAGAAAAUAUAUAAAUCUAUAGAAAAUAUAUAAAUCGAUUAUAAUGAAAAGGAAUCGAGAUAAUCAAAUCCAAAUAGAAUAUAAAAGUCGGACUUAAUGAAAUGGAAUCAAAAUAAUCACUUCAAAGCAAAUAUAAAACCAUUUUCAAUUUCAUAAUACCAAAAUAAUCAACUUUAAAUAAAGUAUAGAAAUCCAACUUCAGUGAAAAUAAUCAAAUGGGUGAAUCGAGAACUAGCUCCAUCUCGUUGAUAGCCCUCUCCUCCUAAUGGUGGCCUUUCCAUGGGGCGGCUCCAUCUAACGGAUAGCUCUUUUCUCUCGACUCAAAACAAAGUGUAAAACAUUUUCAAUUAGAGAGUUUACCUCUCAUUGAUAGCCCCCUCCUCCUAAUGGCGGCCUUUCCAUAGGGGCGGCUCCAUCUAAUGGGGUAACUCUACCUAAUUGAAAUCACAUACUAGGUGCACCUAGGUCGACACCAUUAUAACCGUAAUUUUCAAAACAUCAUUCUUAAACCACAAUGCUAAAACCAUAUAUCACAACAUAACGAAACUUGUUUCAAAAUACGUAUCAUCAAAACUCAAUCGAAGAUCUAUUACUUAAAAUCAUAAGUUAAUUCAAAUCCAAAUCGUAUACAAAUAUAAUCAAACCUUUGAAAAACGCAUAUUUCAACACCACGUUUCACAACAUAUCAAAACAAAUACGAAAAUACAUAAAAUCCAAUCCUCCGUUUCAAUUUCUUUACUUUAUAAAUCACAAGUAAAAUCCAAAUCCAAAUGAAGCGCAUAUUAACAUUGAAUAUUCUCAAGAACAUGUAUCUCAAAACCGUAUUUCUCCAUAUCUCAAAACCCAUGUCAUAGUAUAUGCAACCAAACAUCUAUUUUCAAAUCAUUUGCUCAAUAAGUCAUAGAUAAAUCCAAAUAGAGACCAUAAUAAUAUCGAUGACUUUAAACAUAAGUAUCAAUGAGAAGAAAAAUGUUCAAAGGGCGUGUUCCCCAUUUUUUAUAAACACUUUAACAUAGAAAAUUAUCAAAAUAUCAAUAAUAUUAAUAGUGAAAAUAUGUGAUAAUGAUCGUUAUCAACUCACAACUAUGAAGAAACAAAUCCAUUCCUAGCAAUGUUGUCUGAAAUGACCACCGAAAGCAGUUUCCACCGAAUCUGAACAUCAAACAAUACUUUCAGCUCUUGUGAAAACUUAUUUAAGAUCACCUAACGAAUAGAUAAAAGGAUUAGACAAAACCCCCAAUUUGUUAGGCAUAGGGUUUGAAAUUGACUCAUGAAAAUCUAAGAUUUUACUAUCUAUACUAGUUACACUACUCAUCCAAGUUAGAUAUUAUCACUAAAUUUCAUUAAUCUUACCUCAAAAAGUCUCAAUGAGCAACUUCUAAGAUGAGCAUUCUUCUCAUUUCUUAAAGCAUUAACCCAAUUUCCCAAAAUUAUACCCAAAAGCACUUGUGGAUUAUAGAAAAGCUUUGAUUUGGAAUGAAUACUUUUUCUCUACAAAUCAUCAUUGAGUUAUGUUUUUUUGUUCGAUGAUUGAAAGGAGAAGAGAGGAAAAAAUUGAAUGAAGGUUCUGGAAGAUGGAAUAGUGGGAAAUAAAAGUCACGUGAGGUUCUUUUAUAACACUCUUUUUUUAUUUUUUAUUUAUUUUUUUGGUUUAAAAUGAAACGGUGCGUUUCAUUAUCUUUCGCAUCAGUCGUCGGAAAAUGCUCUUGCUCUUCCCUUGCUGGCAAUCGUGUGUUUCAUUAGUACUUUGAAAUUUAUCAGAACACAAACUUUGUUUUUCUUAUAGCAAGCAUAUUCUGUAAAUAAAGAACACAUGGGAGCUUCUUGAGUAGUUAAAUUCAUUGUAAUCAAACAAAACACACAUAAUUGUCAUAUAGUAAUUUGUUUUCUCAUUUCAUUGGAAAAGGGAUCUUUACAAUUCGAUAUGGUUCCUAAUUUAAAAAAUGUCUCAACUAAUCUAUAUGUCAGUUUCCUACAAUCUUACAUUCAUGUAAUAUUUCAUAGCUCAUUCAAGCGAGAAGUUAUAUGUUGAAAGGCAUCUUCAGUGCAAGGAAUUGUGAGGCCACCCAUUGGAUGAUCAUAUCCAAACUCUUCUUCGGCUUGACUCAGCAAAUCUUGAAACAAUGUUUGGUUCAAGUAUGAUACGGGGAUCACAAUUCUCUUUUGUUUAUCUCCAACGUACACUGCAAGAUAGCCCUUUGGCACGUCCACAACUUUUGUAACUGAUCGGCUUGAAGUAAACGAUGAUGACCUUCUAAUGAUACCAGGUAAACGAAAACCCAUUGCUGAGUGUGUUAAAACUUGAGAAGAAUUUUUAAAAAAAGAACAAAAAAACUUUUAAGCAAUAACCAAGUUUUUGAAAUUUGAAUGCUUUAGGAUGUGAAUGAUUAGUUGGUAUUGCAACCAUGAAUAUAUAUAGAUAAAAGAAUAUUGCAAAACUAUUGGCUACUUGAAUGAUUGGUGAAGGAGAGUUAGACUAUACCACUAUGGUAUAGUAUUAAUUAGGGUUAGGUCAUAGUUUCUACAGGGAGACAAGGGCAUGUACAAUAUCACAUGGGAUUGUCUACAGGUUUUAUCCAAAGAUCAAAUGUCAUAAUAGAUAGUACAAGUCCCACCUUCUAUAAAUAAAAUAAAACAAACAUAUUACCCUACCUGAAGUAUCGAUCCAAGAGUUCUGGUAUGUUUAAACAACUCUUGAUACUUAUUUAGGGAGGCAGGGCCCGCGAAGUUCUGGUGUGCGAAUUUCAUGGGGUUUGUCUUGCAAAAAUAUAAAAUGUGGUUCAUAAUGGCUCAUGAUUUUGCAUUCAAUAGCCGGUCCUGCUUGAGGUUUUGAACUUGUACAUGUAUCAGAUAAUUAAUAUCAACAUUGUUUGUUGGCUAUUGGCAAGAUAUGUUAUAAGCAAUGAACAAGGCAUGAACCGCUUUUCUCAGCUACUCAAUGUAUUAGAGUAAGCAUUUAACGUGUAGUAUUAGAGUAACUAAUUCUUAUAGUUAUAACGGAUUUCAUCAAAUAAAAUAAAAUGAUAAAUAAAGAGGUCAAUGACUUUGCACUGUCAGUGUAUUAAAUUUUACACCUGUAAUUCAAUUAUAGCUCACAAUGUAAAGCCUAAUGUGUAAAACUCUUACAUGGUUUUUUACAUCCCUUCUGUAUCAAAGAGAAGCAAAUCAUUACUGGAGAAAAUGAAAGUGUUUUCAAGAUCAUGUCUCAACAACACUGGCCAAUGAAAUAAGAUAAAGAUACACAUACUCCAUUUCCAGAUUAUUGAACUACAUAAUACAUUGUCCAUAGCACAUAAAUGUGUUUAAGAAACAUUAAUAUGAAGAAAAUUAAAGUGAACAAAAACACACCAAGAUCCUUGGUGUACAUGUGUUCCAUGGCUUUGAAGUGAUGAAAACUUCAACUGAGAAUUAAAGUGUGUAGGGUCCUUACCAACUGCCAAGGCAUGUGAUUACUUAUAGGAAAUUUGUACCUUACAACAAUGUCUCAUCAGUUUGCAAUUAAAUUAUAUGUCGUGUGGUAGUAUUUGUGCAGUUGGAAAAAGUGGGGUAUUGAUGAAGACAAUACUACAAUCAAAAGGACUUUCCGUGCUAUUCACAAAGUACUAAUCCUGCAAGCUGUUAUGACAAAUACAGCCAUUGAUUUUAACUUCAGAAGACAUAAUAACAUGCAACCAUUGGAUUUAAGCUUCCAGCAGACCAACGACUAAUAGUAAUGUGCCGAUAAUGUAUCAAGAAUUUAAGAAAUUCCCUUUAGCUGUCAUACUGUCAUUUUAGCAGUGCAUUAUUUAUUAGGACUAACCAAUAUAAAGUUCAAUGAGAUGUUGGUAUGUCAAGAUUGAGUAAGAGUAUUGCAUUGGAUGAAAAAAGGUUGUUGUACAUCGUAUAAGCAAUGUGUCCUAUAUACCCGAUGUCUUGAGAUUUUGGGGGAAGAUGUGGUGUCGAAGCCACUUAUGUGAUUGCUUAGCCCAAUGUCAUAAAACCAAAAAAUCAUCUCAUAACAGAAUAGUGGUAUCAUAGCCGAUUGUUUGACUAAAGGUGACUAUCUCCUUGUAUGAUACAAGUUGUAUCGAAAGUGUUCCUGAUAAUGGUAGUUAGUAUUCAUAUUGUAUGCCAACUGCAGUAAAAGUUAAUGUGAGCAAAGUGAUUAUUCUAGCUGUAAAUAUGUGGGUGACUCAUCUAUAAAGAGGGCCAUUAUUCUAAAACAUCUUGUGGCUCUGAAAAUCUAUAAGACAACACCAUGUGGUGGUUUGUGAGCUGUUGUCUCUCACUACAGCCCAUCAUAAUCUAUAAGUACUGAUGUCAUUCAGUAAAAUAGUUUACCUUGUUACUGAAUUGUUAUUAUGUCGUUUUUAGAUUACUAAGUUGUUUUUUUCUUAUAGUAAGCAACAUUUCUCAUAUUGUCAAACUCAUUUCUUAAGUGCAAUAAACCAAAAACAUAGAAGAGCUGCUUGAAUAGUCGAAUUCAUUGUCGUUAAACAAAAUUGAUAUACAAUUUAUCAAUCUAAUGGUCAUUUUUUUGCAUCUUUACAAUUUGAUAAGAUGCCUAGUUUACAAAAAAAUAAAUAUCCCUACUAAACUAUGUCAGUCUAAUUUGGUGUUAGGUUCAUAGUCCAUUCAAGCAAGAAGUUAUAUGUUGGAAGACAUCUUCGCCACAAGGAAUGGUGAGGCCACCCAUUGGAUGAUCAUAUCCAUGCUCUUCCUCAACUUGUAUCAGCAAGUCUUGAAACAAUGGUUGGUUCAGGUAUGAUAUGGGGAUCACAAAUCGCUUUUGUUUCUCUCCAACAUACACUGCAAGAUAUCCCUUUGGCACGUCCACAACUUUUGAAACUGCUCGGUUUCCAACAAAUGAUGCCCUUUUGAUAAUACUAGGGAAACGAAAACCCAUUGCUGUAUGCGUUCAAACUUGAGAAAAAUUGGUUUUAAAAAAGACUUGUAAGCAAGAAGCAAGUUUUUGGAAAUUGGAAUGGUUUAGGAUGUGAAUGAUUUGUGUUGGUCCUAAAUGCUUGUAACCAUGAAUAUAUAUAGAUAAAAGAAUAUUGAAAAACUGUUGGCUACUUGAAUGAUUUGUGAAGGAGAAAGAAUCUACAAAGGAGACAAGAGCAUAUACAAGAUCACAUGGAAUUGUCUUAGAUAAUACACCAGCAUAUCACCCCACCAAAAAACAGGCCUAUCAAUGCAAGAGAAAGUUUAAUUGACCAUGUUACUUAUUUAGCAAUGCAGGGACCGCAAAGUUCUGUUAUGGUAUGCAAAUUUAAUGGAAUUUGUCCUGAAAAACUAUAUAAAAUGUGGUUUAUAGUGGUUUGUGAUCUUGUGUUCUAUAUUGGUUCUCUUCUUUCCUAACAUAGUUUCUGAGAUAUCAAUCAAGUCACACUCAAAGCUUUACAAGUUGCACAUAAAUGUAAUAUUUAUUUGGUGUAUUUAAUUAGUUGCAAUGUCAAUUACAAGAAACAUACGAGAUGUCUAAAGCAUGUCUACCAUUGGAUUAGCUAUAGCAACAAAUUCCAGGUUUCUUUCACCAUUGCAUUGUCUUUAAUUUCAUGGUUGUUGAGUUUUCUCAUCACAAAGUGGGGUAUGUGCAUGUUCUUCCAUUUAUCUUCAUCUAAUGCUUGAAAAUGACUUCCAUGAUACAAUGCCAUGUGAUCCCUGGUCCCUCAGUAGGCCCUAUCACAGCUCAUCACAACACUUUCAUUGGCUAAGUGGUUUGUACAGGCCCUUAGCAACUAUAUAUAUACAUUAUUCUUUUAGUUCUCAAUCACCACAAGUCUUUUGCAUCAUAAAUCAUCAGAAUUCAAAUAUUUCUUUCUCAUCCAAUCCUCUAACAUAAUCAGUAUUUUUUUUUUGGUGCUACCAUAAAAAAACAAUGGGUUUCCGUAUAGCCAGUAUUAUCAAAAGGGCAUCAUUUUCCAAAACUCAAGGAUCUAGCAAGGGAUUUGAAGUCCCAAAAGGCUAUCUCGCAGUCUAUGUUGGAGAUAGAAUGAGACGGUUCGUGAUUCCAGUAUCAUACUUGAACCAACCAUCGUUUCAAGAAUUACUAAAUCAAACAGAAGAAGAAUUUGGUUAUGAUCAUCCAAUGGGUGGUCUCACAAUUCCUUGCAGCGAAGAUGCUUUCUUAGAACUCACUUCUCACUUGAAUUGAGCUGAAGGUCAUGCAAAUGGAGAUUUAGAUAGAAUAGUUGAGGCUAAUUUGUACAGAGCGCAAUUUUUUCUAUUAUGAAUAUUUUUUUCAUUUUGUUUUUUCCAUGUAUUAAUCAUUCCUGCGGAAAUAGGGAAUGUUUCCUGAAUGAGAAUGUUAAUGACACAAUAUUUUGUUGAAACACAUAGCUUCCCAAAUCUCAAUGAAUUCUAAUAUAUAUUACAGUAGUAUCAUGAACAUGUUAUCAAAUUUUAGUUGACAUAAACUAAGUUAUUCAGUAUUUAAUAGGGAUUAAGUGCAAUGAUUAUCUUGGAUAUAUUGACCAAGUUAUUGUUAUUGUAUUUCAAAAUGUAACAUGAAAAACACAACACAAUUUUCCCUGAAACAGCUUUAACAGCUUGUUGCUAGAUUCUUUUUGUAAUAUUUAUUUUCUGCUUUAAGCAUCACUAAGUUUUGAAUAAUUAUUUUCAGUUAAUUCGAAUUGUUCCAUCUAGCUCUGCUAAAGUUAUAACAUUUAACUCGGCUUUCAUACCUUUUGUUACUAUAUUACCUAUAUAUUUGAGAAGCUAAACAUGUUGUGAUACAUAGAUGAGAAAACUUUGAGGAAAAUCACUAUGGUUCAUAUUCUUGUUUAUUAAGGAACUUAUUUGAUGACUCAUUUAGGACAAUAGUUAGAUCUUAUGGACCAAGUGGGAGAAUGCAGUAUUACAUCAAUUUUUUCAAAUUGAUUAGUUAUAAAAACUCACUAUUAAGUGGUCCAUAGGUCAGGGGAGUUAUAGUUGUGGAAUGGCCUCAGGCUUAAUGGCCUUGAAUGACCAUUAUAUGAGUGGUAAUAACUUUUAAUUCUAGAUGGUAGAAUCAACUCUAUAAAUAUCCUUUGGCAUCUGAGCUUUCUUUCAUCUUCAUCCCUUCAUUAUAUACACCUGCUAUAUAGGAGAGAGUAAGAGCUUAGAAGAAGAAUGGCAAGAGGUAAACAAUGGUUCUUGUUUUUCUUACGUUUGGUUUAUUAAUCUUAGUUGUUCACUUAUUAUGAUUAAAUUCUAAGUAAUGAUUUCAUACUUCAGGAUUUGUAGGGAUUGAUCACCAUUAGGAUGAUUUACAAUUUAUAUAUUGAAUAGAAGUUUAAUGUAUGAACCCUUUGAGAUAGAAUGUCAUGUGAUUCUCUAAUUUAUGAAUAGCCAUUGAAUCCAAGUACAUUUUUAGAUUGUAAUCUGGUAUUUAGUUAAGGUUCACAUAACUACAUUGUGUUUUUAUCCUGAAAAUUAACUGUAGGGUCCUUACCAACUGCCAAAGCAUGUGGUCACAUAUAGAAAAUUUCCACCUUAUAACAAUUAUAAAAAUAUCUCAUCAGUUUGAAUUAAAUUAUAUGUUGCAUGGUAGUACUUGUGCAGUUGGAAAUAGUGGGGUCUUGAUGAAGACUGUACAAUCAAAAGGACUUUCCGUGCUAUUCACAAAUCACAAGGACAUGUCCUACAGACAUUAUAACAUGAUACCAUUAUUGAAUUUAAGCUCCUAUGAGACCAAUGACUUAAUAGUAAUGUGCAGAUAAUGUAUCAACUAGAAAUUUCCUUGAGCUGUCAUACCAGCAUUUUAGCAAUGCAUUAUUUAUUAGGACUAAUCAAUAUACAGAUCAAAGAGACAUUGUUAUGUGAAGCGGUGAGUAAGGGUCUCACAUUGGAUGGAAAAGUGGAUGCUGAGCAUCAUAUAAUAAUGUGACUCGUAUAUCUGAUGUAUUAAAGUUUUUAAUGAAGAUGUGAUGUCCAAACCAUUUAUAUGAUGAUUUCCCAAGAUUCCCUCGUGACUCAACCCAAGAUUCCCUCGUGACUCAACAGUGAUAUGAGAACCGAUGGUAACAGUGGUAGGAUGUUGUGGGUUUCUAGCAAUAAAUAUGUAGGUGACUCAUCUACAAAGCGGGCCAUUAUUCUAAAAUCUCUUGUGACUCUUGAUGAAAAUCUACAAGACAAAACCAUGUGGUGGUUCGUCAGUCGUUUUCUCUCAGUAAAUCCCAUCAUUUAGCCUACACAGUAAGUAGUAACCAUUCAAUUCUUUAGAUAAGGAUAUCCUAACAGGAACCAUAGAAUGAGGAAUGUGUCAUUAAGUGGAAUAAUUGACUUUGUUACUGGCAUUGUAAUUGUGCACUUGCCUAUGAGGGGAAGGUGCCUCAUCUAUAAUAUCAUGCCUAAGUUAUGUACUUCAAAAAAGAAUAUACUUUAGCAAAUUUAUCUUUCACUUUCACCUUUUGUCCUAGGAAAAAUAACUGUGUUAUGCCCUUGCUAGGAAUCAUGUGUUACUGCUACUUCGAAAUUUCUCAGGAUACCAAGUCCCUUUUUUUCUUAUAGCAAGCAAUGUUACUUAUAUAAUCAUAUGCAGUAUGUUCUUAAGUGCAAUAAACCAAAAACAGAGAGGAGAUAUUUGAGUAGUCGAAUUCAUUGUCAUUAAACAAAAUAUAUUUGUUCUAUAAAUUUCUCAAUCUAAUGGUCAUUUUUUCUCAUCUUUACAAUUUGUUAAGAUGCGAGUUUACAAAAAAAUAUCACUACUAAACUAUGUCAGUCUCUUCUGGUGUUAGAUUCAUAUCCCGUUCAUGCGAGAUGUUAUAUGUUGAAAGAUAUCUUCGGUGCAAGGAAUGGUGAGGCCACCCAUGGGAUGAUCAUAUCCGAACUCUUCCUCAGCUUGACUCAGCAAGUCUUGAAAUGAAGGUUGGCUUAAGUAUGAUACGGGGAUCACAUACCGCGUCUGUUUCUCUCCAACAUAUACUGCAAGAUAUCCCUUUGGCACAUCCACAGCUUUUGAAGCUGAUCGGUUUCCAGAAAAAGAUGCCCUUCUGAUGAUACCAGGGGGACGAAAACCCAUUUUUGUAUGUGUUAACACUUGAGAAUAAAUGGUUUUUAAAUAAAAACUUUUAAGCAAUAACCAAGUUUUUCAGAUUUGAAUGCUUUAGGAUGUGAAUGAUUUGUGUUGGUUCUAAAUGCUUGCAGUCAUGAAUAUAUAUAGUUAAAAGAAUAAUUGAGAAACCAUUGGCUACUUGAAUGAUUGGUGGAGGUAUAUACUGUAGUAUAGGAUCAGGAUGGAGUCAUGGAAUCUACAAGGAGACAAGAGCAUAUAUAAGAUCACAUGGUAUUGUCUUAGAGGUCUACCCUACCAUAAAACAGACCUAUUCAUGGAAUAGAAAGUUUAAUUGACCUUGAUACUUAAUUAGGAAUGCAAGGACCUCAAAGUUCUGUCCUGGUAUGCAAAUAUCAUGGAGUUGGUCUUGCAAAAAUAAAAUAAAAUGUGGUUUAUAAUGUCUCAUGAACUUGCGUUCAACAUUCAUUAUCUUCUUGCCUCCUAACACUGUCUCUUAGCUGCUAACAAUUAGGUCCUACACAAGCUUUACAAGUUGCACAUAAAUCUGAUAUAUAUUCAAAUGGUAGAUGUAUAUUAGCUGCAUUGUCAAUUCGAAGAAAUUACAUGUGAGAUGUCGAGAGCAUGUCUACCAUUGGAUUAGUUAUAACAAAAUGCAAAAAUAUAAAACGUGGUUCAUAGUCGUUUGUGAUCUUGCGUUUAAUAUUGGUUCUCUUCUUGCCUCCUAACACUGCUUCUGAUCUAUAAUUCAGGUCCUACUCAUGAUUUACAAAUUGAAGAUAUAUCAGAUAAUAGUUGGCUGAUGUAUAUUGUGCAUUGUCAAUCUGAAGAAACAUGAGAUAUGUCUGUAGUAUGUCUACCAGUGGAUCAACUAUCCAAAAUGCAUUAACAAACAUCAGGUCUUUUUCACCAAUGCAUUGUUUUACCAUGUCUGUUGGCCAUUAUCUCAGAAGGUAGAGUAUUUGCAUGUUCUUAUAUUUAGCUUCAUCUAAUCCUUGAAAAUGACCUCUAUAAGACAAUACCAUGUGAACCCUUGUACCUAACUAGACUCUAUUACAAUCCAUCAAAAUACAUUCAUUGGUUAAUUGGUUUGUUUGAGACCCUUAGCAACUAUAUAUACACUAUUCCUUGAGUUCUCAAAGCAACACAAAUCUUUUCCAUUCUGAGUUAUAAAAACUCAAAUAUUUCUUUCUCAUCCAAUCCUCUGCCAUCAUCAGUAUUUUUUUUUGUGAGGAACCAUAAAUACUAAAAACAAUGGGUUUCCGCAUAGCAAAGCUUAUCAGAAUGCCAUCAUUUUCCAAAACACAAGAGACUGCCAAGGGACUUGAAGUCCCAAAAGGCUAUCUCGCAGUCUAUGUUGGAGAUAGAAUGAGGCGGUUCGUGAUUCCAGUAUCAUAUUUGAGCCAGCCAUCGUUUCAAGAAUUACUAAAUCAAUCAGAAGAAGAAUUUGGAUAUGAUCAUCCAAUGGGUGGUCUCACAAUUCCUUGCGGCGAGGAUGAAUUCCUAAAUCUUACUUCUCGCUUGAAUUGAGCUCUAGAUCAUGCUAAUGGAGAUUUAGAUAGAUUAGUUGAAGCUAAUUACUAUAGAAACCAUUUUUUUUUUCUGUUGAAGAUUUUUUAUUGUUCCGUCCAUGUAUUAAUCAAUCAUUCCUACGGAAAUCAAAAUGUUUCCUGAAUGAGAAUGUUAAAUUAUUAAUGACACCAAAUAUUGUUGAAACAGUUGCAGCUUUUUUCAUCUCUCAAUGACACCAAACAUUGUUAUGAUUCAUGAGCUUAAAAAUUUACGUCCUUCAUAUCCCAAUAUGGAACACACAACACAGUUUUCCUGAAACACAUUUAGCCUUUUGUUGCUAGAUUCUUCUAUAAUAUAUUUUUCCUACUUUUAACAUCAUUGAGUUUUCAAUAAUAAUUUUCAGUUAAUUUAGCUGGUUCCAUCUAGCUCUGGUAAAUUUAUUUGCAAUUUUUUUUAACAAGAAAUUUAUUUGCAGUUGAUUGCAAAUAUUGCUUCAAAUCUAAAGUUUUUUACUGAUAAGUAUUGUAAAAAUAGUAGUAAAAGAAAACUUGACAUAAACUUCAAGGCUCAACUGUGAGGCAUCUCCCUAAGAUAUACACAUCUACAAUAAUGGUGGACUUGAUUAGAGGGACAUGCGGUCCAUAUGCCAAUAGUUUGAGGCAUGGCCGGCCUAAGGGCCAAGCAACCCAAGCAAGGGCUUUAGGCCUCAAAAUUUUGGAUGAAAAAAAAUGCCUCUAAAAAAUUAAUUUGGUUAUAAUUAUAUUAUAUGACAGAUAAAUUAUAGAUAUUUUGAUAACUUAACUAAUUACCAAAAAUGCUUCAAUUACUCUUGUUCAUGAAUUCAAAUUUCGGUCUCCGAAAAAUUGAUAUUAUAUAAAUAAUAUGUUAGAUCUUUCAAAAAAAAAUGUUAAAAAAAUAAUUUAAAGGCCACAUUAAAAAUUUUGUUUUAUGCCUCUUAAAUUGUUGGGCCGGCCCACUGCUCUAUCUGCCCACAUUUUUGCUGGAAAAUCCCCCCAUUUAUCAGAAGUAAAUUUCCGAUGGUAAGUUUCUCUCGGAACACAGGUUAUGAUAGGCAUUAUUUUGCGAAAAAAUUUCGAAUUGUAGGAUCUGAUGACCAUUUUUCUCAAGUUGAGCAACCUGCGGUGUCUAAACAGUGGUCUCCGUAGUUUGAAUGUUAGACUUCAUGUUUUGAUGGUUGCUUUUUUGACACUCUACAAAUGCGCAAACCAUUUGAAUGAUAACUUUUGAACAGCAUUUUCUAUGUUUUUAAAGGCUUUGGAAGAUAACUCUUGAAUAUUGCUUUUCAGGAUAAAGAGCAAAUAAAGGGGUCAAAAGAGCAACGAUCUCAUGUUUUUGUGAAUUCUAAAUUGGGUUCUUAUAGUCUCUGUUGCUUUAGUGACUACAGCACAUUUAAAUAAGGAUUAGAGUUUUAAGAUUUCUAUUUGCACCCCUUUAUUUAAUACACCCUUUGCCACUUUCAUAUUUCUUUUUCAACAUUACUGCCGUUUUGAAGUGAAUUUCUAUUUGGCACUAAAAUAUUUUGAUUAACACAAAAUCCAUGUUGUUGGGUAGUUAGGAGAGUGCAGAAGGUAACAGUGGAUUAAAAGUAUCUUCAAUGAAAUGAUGUUGGAGAUUCAACGGGAUGAUCUGGAACGAAUGUUUUUGCAGUGAUAGGGUAGCUCUGACUACCCCAAAAUUUUUAUUUUUAUUAAAUGACUAAGUAAAUAUAGUUUUUUUUUUUUUUGACAAAGACUAAGUAAAUAUAGUUAGCUACCUUAGCAAUAUAUUUUUAGCUACCUCAAACAAGUUUUCUUGCAAAAACAAAUAACAUAAAUAGAAAGAUUAAAAAAUUAUUACUUGAUUAAUUAACUUAUUUAUCUUAUUUUGACAUUUCGGUCUCUACAACAAUUAUAGAGAAAGCAUUUUUAGAAAUAAAAAUUAUUAAUAGUCAAAUAAAAUGGAUGAUAGUUUAAUGCAUGUAUCUUAUUUGUUUAUGUUGAAAAAAAUUGUUAGUCUAUUUAGCAAUUAUUCAAUUAUAAAUAUAUUUGACUCCUUAAAACCUAAUUUUAUAGAGAUCAAACAUAUUGAACCCUUAAAUUUAAUAUAUAAAGUUUUAACAGAAUUAAUUUUUAGUUGAGAUUGAGUGAUAAAAAAUUAUCUUUGAUAUUAAAUUUUCUAAGAUAUACAUUGCUUAGUGGAUCUCCAUCCCUUAAAUUUAAACAAUCUCAAUUGCAGCAUAGGCAUACUCCAUUGAAAUACAUGUGUGUGUUGUGUUUAUCAUUUAACUUAUUCAUAUUUGGUGGAAUUGUUGGAGUCCAUGUUUGAGUCGUUAGUCUCACAUCGACUAAAAUGUGGACUAAAUUAACAAUUUAUAAGAGAUGUAACUCUUAUCUCAACAGCUUUAAGGUUUGAUGUGAAUAUGUGUUCUUAAUAAGAUCUCUUAGAGAGCGUAGUCAUUAACUCAUUGUUGAUGAACCCUCGAACUUCCCAACAAAUGAAAUUAGAGUCUUGGUUCAAGUAGAUGGGAGACUGAGAAUUGAUCCAGGAGUAGCAGAUUCUUUAAUUUAAAUUUGCUCCUCCAUAGGUCUCAGGUUCGAUUUUCUCUUAUUCCAAUUUCGGUAGGCUAAAUUCAUACAGAGCUUGCUCUGGCUUUAAAAGGGGCCCCCGCAAGUGGGCGGUGAGUUUGGUCCCCUCGGAUUAAUCAAUUCUUGGAUCGGAUACUGAGUUUUCAAAAAAAAAAUGGAGGUAUUGGCUUUGUGAAUAUAUUAAAAUGAAGAAAAUGUUAACUUAUGCCUUUACACACAAGAUAAAGAUCUUAAAAUAGAAUUAAAUAAUAAAUAUUGAAUUGAAAAGAUAAAAUUUUAAGAUUUUAAAGUUAUGAAUGCACAAUUUUUAAAGUUAAAUUUCUAUGUUCAGUUUCUUAUCUUGUGUCCUCAAGCACAAGUUAGCAAGACCUUUAAAAUAAAGAGAUUAAAACAAUAAUUAAGCCCUUUUUUUAAGGUCAAUUAACUAAUUACAGAAAGAAAUAUUGCUUUCCAAAAGUUAAAUUCGAACGUCAACAUUAUUCCAAUAAAAUAUAACAAUCUAGUAUAUAUUCCUAAAAAAAAAAAAAAAAAAACUAUCUAUAUAUCAUUCAACACAUGGAAGGUGCACAUUCCCAUAUCCAGCCAUACUAGUUUGCUGCCCGGCCUAGUUUAUGGAUUGGUCGAGAAAAUCAAAAGAACGUUUAAUUGAAAGAAAAAUAUAAAGAACAUUUGUUUUCUUCACUGACUAGAAAGUUACUUCUUUUUCCCUCAAAAAAAAAAAGUUACUUCUUUUUUUUGUAAAUACUAUAGCGCUAAAAAUUCAUCUUUUAAAAUGAAUCGGUGGGUGUUUGAGGUUCGAAGUUAAAUUUAAAGGGACGGAUCAAAAGAACAAUAUUAAUGGAUAAAUAAGUAUAUACUUUUUCUUUUGUGGUCGUAAACAAGUAUAUACUAAAAUCAUGGUUUUUCUGAACUCACAUAAAAAAAAAAUAAACUAUGAAACUAAGGGAAAGCCUAAGGACCACAAAUAGAAAAAUUAUAUUUGAUAUUACUCCAGUAUACUAUGUUUUCUUUUACAUUCCUUAUCUAUUUCUGUUCAUUCCCAAUAAUAUGAUCUACAGUAUCACUUUGUACUCUUUCACAAGUUGCCAAAUCAGGGGUGACCAACAGACCAUUAUUCUACGAGAGUUGUUAGUUUUCUUUUCAUAGUAUGAUUAUGUUUAUAUGUUUAAUUGUCCAUUAAAUUUUAAACAGAAGAUUGUGGACCGCAUAACCACUUAGAGUAUAGUCAAAUUAAUUGAAAUAUGAUCCAAUGGUCCUCCAAGCAGGAGUUCGUACUUCACAUGCAAUGUUGAAACUUUGAAAGCAUAUCUUAUGCAAUCACGUGGAAAUUAAAGUGCUUUUCGUUUUAAAUUUUAUACUACAGUGAUUCUAUUAUUGGACCACUUUAUGACUUCCAAGGAGGAUGAGGAGUACUUACAAUAUAUUGAAGUCAUGAAGUGAACUUUAUUGGCAAAGCAUGUUUUCUUCAUUUCUCAGUAUCAAUUUGAAGCACUAUUGACUAAAUUGUCAUUGAGAAAAACCAACGUGAAUGUUAUUUUUUUUCGAAUAUAUUUAUGUAAAAAUGAGUUUAAUAAUAAGUUUAAAUGUAAAAAUUACAUUUGAAGUUAAAAGCUACAAAUUCUAACCUUAAGUACUAAUCAAUUUAAAAGAAAAAAUCACUAUAUGUUGACAUCAUCCUAACAUGCAAUUAAUUUUCUUAAUGGGAAAACAAACAUAUUCUUAAUUAGCUGUCUAUUUUGAAAAGAGGGGGAGGGUGUAGUUGUUGCACUACUAUGCAACAAUAUUAAUGUGAGCGAUGUCAGUAUUAAGCCUACUUAAAAACAUAGUAGGACUAAUAUGGCAAACCAACCUUAUGUUAUGGGCACCUUGUGCAAACUAUGUGCUUAAACUACAAUGUACGGCUAAAAUCUCCCUCAAAAGUUUUAACAUAUAGUUAACUUAUCUCAUUAAUAGAAAACAUGCUAUUUAAUAUUCCUUGUGACCGUAGAUUGCAAAUAAGAUUUAUAUAAUUUCAACUUAGACAAAUUUCUCUUAGUAGAUGCCUGCAUUAUUUUAGAAAUCAAAUUGUAGAGGAAAGGAAGGUUGGAUGUUUUCUACGAAAAUCGUGUUAGAACAUCAGAAAAAGGUGAAAGGUUAAAGUUUAAAAGACUCAUAUCUGUGUGAACCCUUAUCUUUGGCCUAGAAGUUCCUAAUAAAUAUGAGCCCUUAAACUUUUGACAUAUAAAAACUAACUUUGUUAUAUUUAACUUAGAAAGUUCUAUCCAUAAUCACAACAGAGAUUAUAGUGGUGACAAAAAAAAAUGCCAGUAAGGAUAACAAGUCUAAAUUCAAAGCUCCUUUGAAUAAGUAGACCAGGGCAACAUAUUUUCAAAUCCAUGUUGGCAUUAUAUAUCAAGAACGUGCCAAUGAUAAAAAAGGCAAGAUUUUCAUUUGUUUAAAGCAAGUAGCAAGCUAUAGCCAAUAAGUAGUGUAACUUUCAACAAGGGCCACAUUUUCUUUUUGGGCUCCAAAUUAUAAUGGGCCCACAUGUUUUGGUCCAGAUUAGGCAUUAUCAUGUGAAACUACUAUACUCCUACACCUGACAUGUUCCUAAACAUUCUUCAUGGUUAUCACUUAUCAAGCAAUAUUAUUUAAUGUAUUCAAAAAAAUUAACAAUGCUAUAGUAGUAUUUAGUAUGGCUUGACACCCUAUAUAUAUAUAUUUAUAGAGAUGACAAUUCAAUUCAAACCUAAGUCUUCUCUACCUAAGUCUUCUCUAUCUUUAGCAUUAAAUAUUUUUCUAUCAUAUAAUAUUUUCAAAUUAAUCCAUAUCUAGCUUUCUUCAUCAUGAAGACAACAAGUAACAGAUUUGUGGGAAUUGUUCAAGCUAAACAAAAACUCCAGAGAACACUUUCACAAAGAAUUAGAAUGGCUUCAUCUGUUGGUGAUGUACCAAAAGGCCACUUGGCAGUUUAUGUUGGAAAUGAUCAUAAGAGGUUUGUAAUUCCAAUAUCAUAUUUGAGUCAUCCUUUGUUCAAAGAUUUAUUGGAUUGGGCUGAAGAAGAAUUUGGAUUCAAUCACCCUAUGGGUGGUCUCACAAUUCCAUGCACUGAAGAUUACUUCAUUAGUCUAACUUCUUCUCUUAAUUAUUAGUUGUUCAAAAAAAGAUAUGGGUGAUCAAAUUUGACCCAUUGAACAAAAAUAUUGAUUAUUUUUAUUUUUUAUUUAAUGCUACUAAAGUUAGAUAGGAGGAACUAAAUCUGGUCUAUUCAAUUAAUGUUGUACCAGAGAUUCACCUCAAUCUAAUAACAUCCCAAUUCAGGUGAUGUACUCUUGAGUUGUUUUGGCAAUUGAAUUCGAGCAAUUUUCUUGACUUGAGAUGUAAACUGAAAAUUGCAAUGUAACCCUAGCAUUUACCAUUCAAAGUAUAUAAAAAAAACUUGGCAUUUCUCUUGAAAUAUUGAGUUCCUACUGAUAAUUGUUUUUAGGUUAUAUGCUCUAAAAAAAUUAAGUACAAGAAAAUUAGUAAAUUGUGGUGGUAAAAUUUCUUAUUAUAUCGAGUAAAACACUACCAAAAAUAUACAUAUUAUUCACCAAUGGUAGAAAGAUACUAGCACGAAAAGAAGGAAAAAAAAAAACUCUCAAAAAGUGUGUGCGGAUAUUACGGACAUAAAAAACUUUUAGAUGGCGGCUUGACUAUGGAGACGCCAAGUAAAGAGACUUGCCUUCAGAUGGAAUUCAUUAUUUUAAAAUUGAGCAAAAUGGUCUGAAAUAGAGCGAGAGUUGUAACAUCCCAGACUCCUUUCAGGAUUACCGACUCCUACAACCCAACACGAGUCUUUUCAGCGUGUUUUGUCCUCACUCGCACGUUUUCAGGGAAACUUCCCAUAAGGUCACUCAUCCCAAAACUGCUCCAAGUCAAGCACGCUUAACUGUGAAGUUCUUAUAGUUUGGGCUACCGAAAAAUUGCUUUCAGGAUUGUUGACUGAUCCCACAAACCAUCACGAGUCUUUUCUGCGUGUUUUGUCCUCACUCGCACGCUUGUCGGAAAACUUCCCAGAAGGUCGCUCAUCCCAAAAUUGUUCGAAGUCAAGCACGCUUAACUAUGGAGUUCUUAUGGUUUGGGAUACCGAAAAGAAGAUGCAUCUUGUUGAUAUAGGUAGCACCAAAUAAUUCUUAUAAACCAUCAUUCAACCACACAGUCUCACACCUCCACGACUUCAGCCAUCUCAUUCUGAUAUGAUUCGGUUUUGCCUAGAAGCUGCCAGGAGCCGGACCGCUCCCCGCCCUCAUCAGCCUCGAGUGUUACAUGCCCACCAAGCGGAGGUGUUACAUACCCACCAGCUUCCGCUUGGUUCUUCCCCGGACCAUAUCGUACUGGGAGAGGUUUGCUCUGAUACCAGUUGUAACAUCUCAGACGACAUUAAGUAUUCUCGAUUGACCCUACAAAUCAACACAAGUCUUUUCAGCAUGAUUUGUCCUCACUCGCACGCUUUCUGGGAAACUUCCCAGAAGGUCACGCAUCCCAAAAUCGCUCCAAGUUAAGCACGCUUAACUGUGUAGUUCUUAUGGAUAGGGCUACUGAAAAGAAGAUGUGUCUAAUUGAUAUAUGUAGUACCAAACAAUUCUUAUAAGUCUUCAGUCAACCAAGUAGUGUCAUACCUACACGACUUUAAGAUCCCUCUUAUUCCGAUGUGAUUCGGUUUUACCUAGAAGCUGUCAAGAGUCGGACCACUCCCCACCCUCACCAGCCUCGAGCAUUACAUGCCCACCAAACGAAGGCGUUACGAAAGUCUACUGAAGAGAACCUCAGCGAACCACACAUAGGUAUAUAUUGUUAUUAGUGAGUUUCAUUUUAAAAAAAAAGGUUAAUUAAGUUUUUAGUCCCUAUAAAUGUUCACAGUUUUGUUUUUAGUCCCUACAAAAUAAAAUCACACUUUUUAGUCCCUAUAAAAUUUUCCAUCAGCAUUUUUAGUCCCUAUAAAAAUUAUCCAUCACCAUUUUAGUCCCUAUAAAAUUUUUCCAUCAGCAUUUUUAGUCCCUAAAAUGCUUAAGGAAAAUGUCACAGGGACUAAAAAGUAUGAUUUUAUUUUGUAGGGAUUAAAAACAAAAUUGUGGAUAUUUAUAGGGACUAAAAACUUAAUUAACCCAAAAAAAAAAAAAAAAGUUAAUAGGUCUUUACCCCCUGUAAUAUAGGUCAUUUCCGGUUUUCUCUCUGUAAAAUUAUUUUUUUGAUUUAUCCCCAAAAAAAAAUUGUUUUGAUUUACCUCCUUAAUAGGCCAAACAAAAAUCAAUUAUAUUUUUUUUUUCAAGAAAUUUUCGUUUUUGUUUGGCCUAUUAGGGGGUAAAUCAAAACAAAAAAAAAUUACAAGGGGGUAAAUCAAAAAAAAAAAUUUACAGGGGAGAAAACCGGAAAUGACCUAUAUUACAGAGGGUAAAGACAUAUUAACCAAAAAAAAAUGUUAAGAUGAUAAAUUAGAGAUAUAUUGAGUAUUUAUCAAGUACUAACAUUACAAAAUAAAAAUUAUAACUAAUUUUUUUAGAACUCACUUAUGGCAUCUCCAAUGAUGUUAAAAUAAGCGGGCUUAAUAGAAAAAUGAACUUCUUCCUCCUUUUUCUUCCUCCUUUUUUUUCUCUCUACAUAUUGAAGGUGGCAAAAUAAUAGCAUAAAAAUUACAGGAUUAACUUAAAUAAUAUAAGAUGUCUUAUUUUUGUAUCAUUGAAGUAAAAUAUAUAUGAGUUGCAUAAAUAUGAUGUAUUUUAGGAAGGUUUUUUUCUAGAUUACCUUUGAAAAAUGGUGGGUAAUUUACCCACCAACCAAUCAUAAUGAGCAAUUUAUUGGUGGGGUCAAGAUAGUUUAUGGAUACCACCUAAAAAGAUGAAUGUUUAUUGGUUGGGGUAAAUUAUCCAUCAUUUUUCCAUGGGUAUCUUAUUUGUCACCUUUUAGGAAUUUCGUAUUUAUAGCGUACUAAACUCAAAGUUUCUUAAAAAAAGACAAUUAGAGAUAAUCUUAAUGUGGUGAGAAUCAAACUUGAUGUUGUUAGUUAGACCAAAUGUUCGUUAACAUGAAUGAAUGUGGAUCAUAAACAUAGGAUCCCCUGCCUGUUUUCAUUGGAUUAAGAUUACUACGUGACUGCUCACCUUAUCCAUUUCUCUACAAAAUUGUAAUCAACCCAUUCAUUAAUUUUCCUUCGACCUAUUAAGAUUUCAGGUGUAGCGCCCACAUUCUUGUUUUUGUUUGUCGCCAUUUUUUUUCUUGUUCCAUUCGUGGUUUUCAACUGAUGAAUGAGAAAAAACAUUACAUGUGUGCAACGUUGUUUGUAGCGUGCUAAACUAAGAGAACUCUGAACAUAAUAAUAAUUGUCACAUUGGUAGCUAGGUUGAAUAGAUAGAAAUUGGUAAUAACCAUGAAUAAUUGACCAAUUCAUCUUCAUUAUUAACAUUCAUGAUUUAUCAAAUCAAACCACUGACGUCAACAACGUGGCCACUUCAAGAACCUGCAUCACAGAAAACAAAGAAGUUUUUUGUGUGAAAAUACUGUGGGCAAUCUAGUUAUUAUGUGAAGCGCCAAGUUGGACCUGUUACACUUACAUGCAUGAUUCAAACUAGUGUCUUACAUUAUUAAUUAUAUAGUAAAAUAAAAAUACAUGUGUAUAUACAUAAUACAUGCAAGUAUAUAUAUAAAAUCAUGUAUGAUUCAGAAUUUAUAGAAAGCUCUUAAAAAAAAAUUGAUAUACAACUACUAGCUAGCAAGUGUGUUUCAAUAUAAACAUAUAUGGGUAUGUGUAUGCUUCUAGAGAUGAUUCUACAUGCAAUGAAAAUGUUACGACUACGGUCUCAAUACUACACAAAGCAUCAUUUUUCAAGACAAAAUUCCAAGAAAAUUGGUCAUCAUGCUCCAAAAGGACAUUUUGUGGUGUACGUGGAUGAUAAGGAUGAUGAAUAUAUGAGGCGGUUUGUGGUCCCAAUAUCGUACUUGAAGCAACCUAUGUUUCAGGCCUUGUUGUGUUGUGCUGAGGAAGAGUUUGGUUUUGAACAUCCAAUGGGAAAUAUUGUUAUUCCAUGUUCCAUUGACUAUUUUGUUACUCUUACUUCUCGUUUCAAUGUCUCAUAAGUAUAUAUAUACCACACUAAUUUGUAUUUGAUGUAUAUGAUAUGUGAGAAAAAUAAGAUCGUGUAUAUCUCACUCUUUUGAAGUGAGUAAUUAUCGUUUCAAUGGUUGAUUUUUGUCAUUAAUUUUUUUCUUUUAAGGUGAAUUACUAUUUAAUUGCUUUUAGAUGAAUGAAACUAAUACUCCAAAUGUUAUUUUAUUCAUAGCAUUCCUUCUCUUCUCAUUGUCAUUCGUAAACGAAGAGAAGCAGCAUGGGAAAAGGUAAAAUAAUACACUUUUUGCGGCAGAUCAUGCAAAUAAUGUAAAUGUGUUACUAACAAUACUAGUGAAUGUGUUUGGAUAAGUGUUAUUCAUUAUAGUUUUGAUUAAAAUAGAUUGACUUUAUAAACUGAUAAGCAAUGCUAGAAAAAGAAGAAGAAGAAGAAGAAGAAGAAAAAAAAACAUGUAAAAAUUGUUGGGUGUGUGGUAGCUAUAGGGAGGGGGAUAAAGGUUGUUAAAUGGGCUUGGCUCAUUUUGAAAGAGAAAAAAAAUAAAAUCCUUGCUUAUCUUAAGAGAGGGAACCAUAUGGAGUUAAGAUUCUUUUCAUUUCAAAAAAAAAUAAAAAAUAGUUCUAUUUAUGAGAUAGAUAGAUAUAAGUGUAAUACUGACCGACUCCGCUUUUAUAAAUAUUUUUAAAAAUUAGGUUUUUAUCAAUAUAACAUUUGUGUUUAUCUCUCUCAUAAAUGAAACUCUCCUUUUAAAUAAAAUGAAAAGAAUCCCAACACAAGAAUUUGGUAUACCUAAUAUUUGUAGAGAAAUGCAGGGACACUCUCUUUUUUCAACACUCUAUCUAACACUUACUCUCUUAUUGAAGGAAAGUAAUGUAUGCCCCACUAUUUUAAGUGGAACUCAUUUCCAAGUAUAAGACUCACCUUAAUUUAAAUCAAUAAAAAAGUGGGUGUUUGAGAGAGUAUAAAAAAAAGAGUGUUGUUAGCACUACUCAUUUUCAAGUCUCUUGUUUCACAAUGUGAUCAUAUACUCUGUAGAAGUAUGAUAGUUUGUUAGUAUAGCUAGUUAAUUAGUUUAUUGAUUAUCUACUAGCUUAAAUAUAUAGAGCAUUUCAUGUACCUAUUUACCAUUUUUUUAUCGAUAUAAAUUCUAAGGAAUUUUUCUUUCUAUCAACCUCUCUUAAACUUAUUUUUCCUAUGAGAUGAGACACCAUCUCAUUGAUCAUGUGAUUUAUAACUAGAGUGAUAUUGUGCUUAUAUUUCUGCUGAUGAAAUUGAUAUGAAGAACAUUCCUGUGCUUAUGAUUACAAAGAAGUUGAUUGCAGCAUAUGAGGGAGGGUAAUUAAAAUAUUGAUUCUUUAGAGGUUAAUGAUUUAGUUACAACUCCACGAGUUAGCUAGAGUUUUUUUUUAUUAUGUUAAAAGGAGAGUUAGCGAGUAUGUUACUUCUUCCUUAAAAAAAAAAAAAAAGAGUAUGUUAAUUACUCCACUUCUUGUUUAAUAUAUUUAGUUUGUUGAUUAUCUACUAACUCCCUUGACAUUGUUUACAAAAUUUUGGCUGCAUUCUUUCAUAUAUAUGCUUCCAAUUUGAGUUUGGAGAAACAUCAUAAUCUUUGUUAUUUGUUUCUUACCAACAUAGAAAAGAGUUCUACCGUAAUUCCAAUAGCAAUACAAACUUAGGCCCGUUUGGAUAAAAAGCUUAUAUAAAUGCUUAUAGCAUUAGGGCUUAUAACAUUAGAGUUUACAUCAUAAGCUCUUAUACUUGAUAAGCUAUUUAUGUUUUGAUAUGUACACUAAAAAGUACUUACAUAAAUUGAAGUGUUUGGAUGUGACAUAACAUAAGCAAUUAUCGAAAUUUUAAAUAUUUGUAUUACAAAAAAAUCAAACGAUCGAACCACAAUUAUCAAUUUUUUUUUUUUUUGAUAAAAUUAAUCAAGAUGUAAAAAACAAUAUUAUAGAUAUCAGUGUACAUUUGUUACCAAAAAAAGACAAGUUAAGUUUGUUUUUUUAUUCAGUUUCAAUUUGUUACGUAACAAAAAAAUAAUAAAAUUCUUCCUUCCAAAAAAAAUAAUAAAAAUCUUAGUUACGUGUUUUAGUAAAAUAAGUAUAGCAAUUUUGUUACUCAUGCAAAAAUAACUAACAAAAAGAAAUAUAUAUUUUGAAAAAGUGGAUCCAGAGAGAAUUGAAGGAGAUUACAUAAAUUCAUAAGCUCCUUGUUAAGCCAGAGGGUAAGCUAAAAAUUUAGGCUUAUGAAAAUAUGGCAUAAGCAGCUUAUGCAACUAUGAUAAGUUAUUUUUAUUUAUUUAUCCAAACAUCUUUAAAAAAGCUUAUGGGAGUAGAUAAGCCUACAUAAGCUCAAAAUAAGUCAAUCCAAAUGGGCCUUAAUCUAAGUUAUUAAUGUAGCUUAUGGGAAAUGAUCUUCUAAAUUGACACCAUAAAACUAGUUUUUAAAGAAAAUUAAUUACUUGAGAUCAACUCAAAACUCCUUAGAAUAACUUUUAGGCUCCACUAAUUCUCCCACGUGUCUUCGCCCAAUAAUAUUGUGUAAUUAUUUUUUAAUAGAAAAACUAUUUCUUUUUUUCUUUUUUUGUUAGGUAGCCUAGUGGCUAGAAUUCACCUUAUAAGGUGAAUAAGUGGGGGUGUUCGAGGUUCGAACCCUGGCCCCUCCAUAUAAUAAUGCAUUGUCAUACCAACUGAGAUACGUUCAUGGGACUAAAAAAACUAUUUCUAUUAAUCAAUAGUGAUAAACCAAAUCAAGAGCUAAAAUGGGUAUAACAAUUUCAGGAGGUGAUGUAUGACCCAAUUACAACUGGGUUUAUACAUUUCAAGACUAGACAACCUAUUUGCUACAUAAAUUACUGAAAAUUGUUCUUCUCCCUUUCAAAAUUGCUCUUCCUUUGUAUCACCGGCAGUUACUGUCGCUGACACCUUUAAGAUCGGUUGUAUCAACUUAAAAUUUGAUUGAACCGAUCUUAAAAGUGUAUGCGGCAAUUAAUUGCCGCUGAAAAAUUAAGAACAACAGAAGUUGAAGGAUCGUCUAAUAUUGUGAAAGCAAUAACAUAAAAUGUUCAAACAACUUAGCGCACAACCACAAAAGGGACACAUUACUUCCACUUUUUUAUUCAAUGCAAGACUCUUACGCACACUUGACAUACCAACAUCUCAUUGAACUAUAUUGGUUAGUCCUAAUAAAUAAUGCACUGCUAAAAUGACAGUAUGACAGCUAAAGGGAAUUUCUUAAAUUCUUGAUACAUUAUCAAUGGUUGCAUGUUAUUAUGUCUUCUGCAGUUAAAAUCAAUGGCUGUAUUUGUCACAACAGCUUGCAGGAUUAGUACUUUGUAAAGAGCACGGAAAGUCCUUUUGAUUGUAUAAGUCUUCAUCAAGACCCCAAUGUUUCUAACUGCACAAGUACUACGGCACAACAUAUGCACAUAAUUGAAAACUGAUGAGACAUUGUUGCAAGGUGGAAAUUUCCUGUAAUUCUCAAAGCCAUGAAACACAUGCAUACCAAGGAUCUUAGUGUGCUUUUGUUCACUUUUAUUUCCUUCAUAUUAAUGUUUCUUAAACACAUUUAUGUAGUUUAAAAAUCUAGGUAUGGAGUAUGUGUAUCUUUAUCUGAUUUCAGUUGCUAGUCAUGUGUUUGCGACAUGAUCUUGAAAACACUUUCAUUUUCUCCAAUGAUUUGAUUUAUAGAAUGGAUUUAAAAAACUAUGGAAGAGUUUACACAUUAGGCUUUACACAGUGAGCUAUAAUUGAAUGACAGUGUAAAAUUGUACACACAGACAGUGCGCAGUCAUUAACCUCUUUAUUUAUCAUUUUAUUUUAGUUGAUGAAAUUGGUUAUAAGUUAUAACUAUAAGAAUUGGUUACUCUAAUACAACAUGUUAAAUGCUUACUCUAAUACAUUGAGUAGCUGAGAAAAGUGGUUCAUGCCUUGUUCAUAGCUUAUAACAUAUCUGCCAAUAGCCAACAAACAAUGUUGCUAUAUUAAUUAUCUGAUAGUGAUACAUGUUCAACUUCAAAACCUUAAGAAGGAACGGCUAUAGAACAAAAUCAUGAGUCAUAAUGAACCACAUAUUAUAUAUUUUUGCAAGACAAACCCCGUGAAAUUUGCAUACCAGAACUUCGCGGUCCCUGCCUCCCUAAGGGUUUUUCGUUUACCUGGUAUCAUUAGAAGGUCAUCAUCAUUUACUUCAAGCCGAUCAGUUUCAAAAGUUGUGGACGUGCCAAAGGGAUAUCUCGCAGUGUGCGUUGGUGAUAAACAAAAGAGAUUUGUGAUCCCCGUAUCAUACUUGAACCAACCAUUGUUUCAAGAUUUGAUGAGUCAAGCCGAAGAAGAGUUUGGAUAUGAUCAUCCAAUGGGAGGUCUCACCAUUCCUUGCACAGAAGAUGCCUUCAAACAUAUAACUUAUCGCUUGAAUGAGAUUUGAAAUAUGACAUGAAUAUAAGAUUGUAGGAAACUGACAUAUAGAUUAGUUGAGACAUUUUUCACAUUAGGAACUAUAUAUAUCAAAUUGUAAAGAUCCCCUUAUCCAAUGAAAUGAGAAAAUAAUUACUAUAUGACAAAUUUAUAGAGUAAUUUUUUUUUAACAAUGAAUUCAACCACCCAAGCAGAUCCUAUGUGUUUUUUAUUUACAAAAUAUGCUUGCUAUAAGAAAAACAAAGUUUGUGUUCUGAUUAUUGAUGAAUCAGGUUAUUGGCACAACACUUUGACCACCAUUAGGAUGGCAAUUGGACCUAGACCCGAUGGGUAUUCGUAUAAAAUACCAAUAAUAAGUAGAGUAAAACUCCGUUUUCAUGAGUUUGGGCGCGGGUUCGGGUAAUACCCAGUAUGAGCAUGGGUAAGGGUAUUCUACUGCUCAACCUCUCAACCCCACAUAUGCAUAUUUAUAUAAUAUCAUAAAUAAUUUAUUUAUUUUUGGUGUAUAACUAAUUAAUUUUUUUUUUAAGAAAAUAUAACUAAUUAAUUUAUUUAGCUAUUUAAGCCUAAACGAAAAAACUACUUAAUACAAUAACAGUUUCAUCCUACCGACGUACAAUUUUUUUAGGGAUAUUUUGAAUGUUUUUUAUUUUGACUAAAUACUAAGAUUCAUACUAUCUUAUGAGUUAAUUUUACAAAAAUUUGACCAUAGUUUUAUUAAAUUGUAAUGUUUUUAUUGUCUUUUCAUAAUUAAAGUGUGGGUAUUGAAUGCGGGUAUGGGCAUUUAGGUACCCAUAGGGUAUGGAGAACGGCAGUAAAGUUGUUCCCCACGAAGGUACGGGCACGGGUAAGGGUAUUUUUUACAAAUGUAGGUACAGGGAAGGGCAUUGUAGUACCCUACCCAUAGGUUACCCAUUGUCAUCCCAAACCACCAUGUCUGCCAAUUUCCAAGUAACAAUAACAUUAUAUGUUGCUCAAUAUUUACUUUUUUUAUAUGAUAUGGAACUUCUAACUCACACUUGACACAUUUUUCAGAAUUUACAAUUUGCGCACAUUAGGCGUGAAGCCAAUCAGGCUGCGCAUUAUUUAGCAAAAUACGCAUCAUCUCACCAUGAGGAUGUAUGGAUUGAAGAUACUUCCAAUUGUAUUGAUGAUGUCUUGGCGUUUGAUUUAUUGUUAGACACCUUAUAAUGAAAUUUUUUUCCUUAUCAAAAAAAAAAAAAACUCACACUUAACACAAAUACAUGUCACACACUCGCACAUAUAUAUUGUGUGUAUGUGUGUAGGCACACAUUAUGAUUCAGGAAAUCCUUUGAAAAUACAAUUUUUACCACUCAUUUUCAUUCUAGGAUGACUUUACUUUGGUGAAUUUAACACAAUAUUUCCUCCGGUCCUUAUUAUAAGAAACAAUUGACUUUUUAGAUUUAUUAUAUAAAUGAUGUAUCUAGUGUAUAUUUAUAACGAGAUACAUUAAUUAUUCAAUGAACCUAAAAAAUAAAUUAUUUCUUAUAAUAAGGAUCGGAGGUAGUAUGUUUCAAGAGUUAUUUCUACCUUAGUGUCUACACUAUAACUCUAUGAAUAGUGUGUAGAUCCUAUGAAAUACCUCUGAAAAGUGUAGCGUGUGUGUGCGCGCGCGUGUGCGUGUGGGGGUUUGCUAACUUAAACCAGCAAAAAUCAUGAAGGUCCAAGUUAGCAAAAGUGCACCUUUUCAUUUGGAGAAAAAAACCAAUACCCACUAGUGUAAACCAAUUUAAAGUAAGAGAUAGUUUAGUAAAUAUCCCUCAAGCUAUUUGUUAUAAAUUAAAAGUGGGUCUAAGUUAACAAAUUGGUGCAAAUUAACAAAUAUGUUUUAAUGAAAAUUACUAAAGUAACCCUCAAGCUAUUAGUUUUAAAUAAUAUAAAUAAAGGAUAUUUUUGUCCAUAUAAAAAGGGACACUUUUGCUAACUUGGACCUUCAUGUUUUUUGUUGGUCUAAGUUAGCAAACCAUAUAUACAUACAUACACACAGGUUUAUAUCUUAUAGUCUUGCUCCCUCAAAAAAAAAAUAUCUUAUAGUCUUGCUCAAAAAAAAUUCUUAUAGUCAACCUUUUUCAAAAAAAAAAAAAUCUUACAGUCAACAUUGUAAUAUAUUACAUUGACUAACACUUUAAGUAAUUAUAAUAAUUAUUUUUUAAUGGAAUAUGUUUUUUCGUAUUUCUUUGAAAGGAAUAUUUUGUUUAUGUUUAAUAAUAUAAUUUGUUCACAUUUGGUUGGCUUAAAGUUGGUAUUAUUAAUAGUUAUUUAUUUUUUGUAAGUAUUAAUAUUUUAUUAAUUAAUAGUCUUUUUCAUAAAAUUUCUUUAUAAAUUUUAUAGUCAAGAUACUCUUUUUACCAAAUAUGGCUUACACAUUCAAUGAUUUAAAUUUUAAUAGAAUUUUUUUAUUUUUUUAAAAGGAAUAAGUUUUAAUAUUUAAUAUUAUACUUUGUUCACAAUUUUUUGACUGGUAUUUAUUUUUUUGGGUCAAAUGACUAAAAUUCAUUAUUAAAUGUUAUUUAUUUCUAUUGUUUAAAAUUGUAUAUUUAAUAUUUCUAUCAACAUAACAUGUUAUCAGUUUUCAUAUAAUAAUUCAUGGGUAAUAUUUUCAUUAAUUCAAGUUUAUACUGCUUAAAACAAAAUUAUAGUAAAAAAAAUUAUAUAAAAUUGGAAGGACGAAGUAUAAAAUUGUGGUAUUAUUUUCCUAAUUUUUUUUAUAAUACAUAAUUUGAUUUUUUUAAGUAUUUAUAAAUUAAAAUUAUAUAUCAUUAAUUUGGUCAAAAAAUAAAUUGGUAUAAUGUUAUUUUUAUAAGUUAAUAAAUAUUUUCAUUAAUUCAAUUUGAUACUACCAAAAAAAAAAUAUAAACAAAAGAAGAAGAGGAAAUAUAGAUAUAUAUAUAUAUAGUGGGAAAAAAAUUAACUGCAAAUUGCUUAAGACGGGUAUACCUAGUCUUCGAGAAAUAGCACAUAUGAUGAACAUAUCACCUUUUAAAUUACGAAAUUAUCUUUAAACUUAUAUCAUUAGCAUGUGCAACCAAAUCUAUCUAGUUGAUCACAAUGUCAGAAAAUAAGCGUGCUCAUGAAGUGUCUCUCAAAGAUGAGGAGACCAAAAAAAAGGUAAACAACAUGCAAGAGAAACUCGUAGACAACGUUGGUAAGCAUUUUUAUUCUUUCUUAUGUCAAUUAUGUAAUUAUUUCUUCUUGCAUUUUCAUAUGAAUUCCUAUGAUUAUUUUUCAUUAGCGAUCAUCAUUUAUUUAUAUAUUUUAAUUAUCUUACUUAUUGUUUUCAUUAGGAUCGGUUCAAAUGCUUUCAUCUGAUAAUGAAGAAGGAGAAGGAGAAGGAGAAGGAGAAGAAGAAGGUGAAGAUGAUGAUUAGGACAACGACAACGAUGAUGAUGAAAAGCAGGAUGAGAAAGCAAAUGAUGAAGCUGAAGAACAAGAUAGAUCCAAAUAAGAAGAGUAUGUCAACUGCAUUCCUCGUUUAUUAUCUCAUAUAUAUACAAUAUCAUUUACUGUUUUAUUCUUAAUCAAAUUUAUUCCCCCCUUGAAAUUUUUAUGCGGAUUUUAAUUGCUCCCUUUGAUCUUAAAAUAAGAAAAUAAAGUACAUGUAUUUGGUAUAAAUUUGGAUUGCAUGUGCAUAUUUAAGAUCUAAUGAUGUAUUUGUAUCUUUUGUAUGUUGUUUCUUCGAGGCAGCUGAGAGUAUCACUAUGGUUUUCAUUUGCGUGAUAUCAUGCUUAAUUUUUUGGUUGUGUGUAGUUUUUUUAUUAAUUAGAUUAUAAUUACGCAAUAGCAUGUCGAAGGCAUCAAUGCCAACAUCUAUUUUCAAUGAAUUAUUUGCAAAUCUUUCUCAGCAUAUUAUUAGGUGUUUCGUCUGAUUUUAUCUUGACAUAAAUAUCAUUUAGUCCUUAACAUAUUUUUAAAGUUCAAUUUAGUCCUUAACACUAAUUAUGUACUUAUUUUCUUUUUAUGGUUAACCCUCUAGUUUUCACGGAAAAGGAACUUUAAUAAUUCGAAAUUUGGUUGGGAAGUAAGUAAAAUUGAAUAAGAAUUAUUCCACCAAGGAAUCGAACUCAGGUUCUCUUUAAAAAUUCGUCCUUGGUAGAACUUAUUAAUCAUUUGAGCUCAAUUACUUGGUUUGAAUAUCUCAUCUAACCAAAAUUUUAAACCUAGGUUAACUAUGUACAUUUUAGGGGAGACUAGACCCUUCUAAAUCCAAUGAACCCAACCCGCGUUGGUAUGUUUUUAUUUGUUAAUCUUUUAAAUAAUUAUGUCAAUGAGAUAAUAAACUUUAUCAUUUUAUUAUAUCUCGGUCAAAAUUGUAUCAACUAGUAAGGACUUAAAUAGAAUUAAUAACUGAUGUAGUAUUUUUGCAUCAAACAAUUGUAAGUAUUUAUAUCGUCUCCUCAGGGACUAGUGCGAUAUCGCGGACCGUUCGACACCAAAUACCAUUCCAAGUUAAAAGAUAAUUGGUUGUUUGUUUUAGUAACUCAUUUGCAAACGAUAAAAUUGAGAUUAAUAGGGCGUGAAACUUGUUAGGAUUAGAGUUCCUUGAUCAAGCGUCGCACGUAACCUAAUGAUCAUACAUGGAUUCUAGCUUUUCUUUGAUAUUAUCACGUAUCCCUCGACAACACUAUUCGUGUCCAAACAAUAUUGUGAAAUCAAUUGUAUCAUUCAAUCGUCGAUGUCUCAAACUAUUGAAUGAUUCAAGAGUCGAUCUUAUCGUCCAAUCGAUGAUUUCUCGAUCUAUUGAAUGAUAAGAAAGCUUUAGGUUUGGAUACACAAAGUGAUUAUCAAAACAUCGAUUCCAUGUCUAGAACCUAUGUUUUGAUAGAUGGUUAUUCUAAACCUAGAUUCAAAAGUAUUUCUCAAUCACAAUUAAAUCAAAGAUAAAGAUUAAAGUGCAAGAAUAACAUCAAUAUCAAAUCAAAUGCUAGAACCAUAUAUUUAUAGAUCAAAAGAUUACAUGUUAAGCUAAGAUCAAGUACCUCUAAUCCCAACAAAGGAGAUUUAGCUACUCAUUGUCAUGGAAGCCUUGCAAGAAUGAAUUGAAGGAGAAAGAUUCAUUUACAACUUGUGAUUUCUCAACAAAGAAUGAAGAAUCCACUCUCUAUCACUCUCACUCUAUGAAGAACAAGCCCUAUCUCUCUCUCUAGAAAUAUUACAAGUGAAAAACUCAGAGAAAAACUAAGUAAAAAAAAAAACUAUGUAUCAAUGAAAUGGUUGAGUGGGCUAUUUAUACAAUUCUGACUCUGCAUCAACUCGCCUCGCGAGCUCAUUCAUUCGCCAUGGCGAGUUGAGGUUCCUUCGCCAUUGGGUUUGUGCCACGUCAGCUGUGAGAGGCUAAACCGCCCUAACUCGCCUCGCGAGUCAUUCCACUCGCCAUGGCGAGUUUUCUCGCCUUCCACUCGCCAUUGCGAGUUGGUGGCGAAGGAUCUUUGAUGCUUACUGGAAUUGCUCGCCUUUGAUGCUUGCCAUGGCGAGUUGGAGGCGAAGGAUCUUUGAUGCUUACUGGAAUUGCUCGCCUUUGAUGCUUGCCAUGGCGAGUUGGAGGCGAGUGAUCUCAUUUUUCUACCUUUUUGUACUCUUCUCCAUUUUCUUCUCUUUGCUUGAUGUCUUGAGUUCGAAUCCUGCACAAAUGGGUGAAGUAAGAUAGAUAAAGCGUAAAAGGGCAAUAAUAACUUAUUUCUCGGCUUUUCCCUCAAUAACUUGCAAAACAAGUAACAAAAGUGCCUAAAAUAUAUCACUUAAAAUACAACUUUCUAGCACUUAUCAAUAACGUAACAUAAAACUCAUCUUUGACUUUAUCUCUUCUUACUAAUUGCCAGACAAUGCGAGUCUGAAAUCAUUUAUAAACAAAUUUAUGGAUAUUCUGUUUUUAUACUAUACGUUAUUUACAAAAUAUUUUCUCCUUUUAUAAUUUAACAAGAUUUAUGACGUGUAAUCAAUUUAUUCUAUUGCAUAACAACACCCUUAAGAAAUGAGAUUUCUUUUACCCCUAAGAAAUCUAAUUCCCCCCCCCCCCCCAAACAUCGAAUUAAGUAUAUUUAAGGAUAUUCUAUUUUUAUACUUUUUCAGUGGAUUUAGAAGGGUCUAGUCUCCCCUAAAACUUGCAUGGUUAACCCACGUUCAAAUUUUGGUUAGAAGAUAUAUUCAAACCAAGUAAUUGAAAUCGAAUGAUUAAUAAUCUCCACUAAAUACAAAUUGUUAAAAAGAACCUGAGUUCGAUUCGUUGGUGGAAUAAUUCUUGUUCAAUUUUACUUACCCCAACCAAACUUCAAAUUAUCAAAAACCCUUUUCCAUGAAAAACUGGAGUAAAAAAAAAAAAGUACAUAUUUAGUGUUUGUUCGUGCUACAGAUAAGAUUAUCUAUAGUAUAAGAACUUAUGAAAUAAAAAAAGUAAUAAUAACUUAAUGUAUCAUGUCAUAAUCACAAAAUACAAAAAAAAUAAAAAAUAAUAAACUAUUAAUUUCUGAAUAUAAAUAUUAAAGUAACUUUAAAUAGAUUUAAUUUAUGUGUAUUAUUAAAAAGUAAUUAAAUUUUUUACAAUUCAUGGAAAGCUAAUUGUGCUUUCACACGUGUCACUUUCAAAUUUGCAUAUCUUUAAAAUAAAAUAAAUGUGCAAAUUUAAAAUUUUGUGCUUUGUUAAUAGAUAAACAAACAUUUUUCCAAUAAGAAUUAAAUAGUACAUAUAGUUUUAAGAUAUUUUAAAAUUUUAAAAAUAUGUAUAUUAGAAUAAAAUAAAAAGUAAAUAAUCAAAACAAAAAAGUAAAAUAGAUUGUGUUUGAAAUAUUAUUUAUAAAAUAAACUAUAGUUGUGUGAUUGUGAUACCUAUGUAAUACCUACGAGUAAAGUGUACAUAGAUCCUAUGUAAUACCUUUAAAUUUGUAUAUAUUUAGAGGUCCUAUGUUGAUAUGUAAAAAAACUGUAGUUUGAUACCUACGAGUAAAGUGUAGAUAGAUCCUAUGUAAUACCUUUGAAGAGUGUAGCUCAUUUCUAAAUUGAGAGGUCCUUUUAAUUUUAUGUGUUUAUCUUCUCCAUAUGUUGGGUAGCUGUUUUGUAUACGGAUUGAGUAUGCUUUGUGCUCCGUUAAUAUCUAGUUUUUUUUUUCUUUCCCACAAGUAAUCUCUUAGUUUUGUAUUAAGGCAUGUUUACUCUCAAUUUAUUUAUAUUUUCAUUAAACUAAUAAUAAAAAAAGAGAAUAUAGAUCAAAUAUAUACCUCAUACUUUUUUAAAAGAAUUAAUUCUAGCAUUUUUAGAUUUUUUUUAAAAUGUCCAAACAUUAUUUUUAUUGUUUCUAAAAAUGCAUUUUCUUCAGUUUUCGUAUUAUCUCUACCACAAAUGUUACCAUGCAAGUCUUCCAUGUCCUUGUUAGCAACUUAAAAUGUCAUUGUUAGAACUUUAAAAGGACUGGAAGUUUAAGAAAAUGAAAUGUGGAAAUAUUUUCAUAAUGUAAACGGGUUCUACAUUCUAAUAUUUUUGGAUUCCUCUAUUGAUGUUUAUUUACAAAUAUGUGAGCAUAGAUUUGUCAAACAAACAUACAUGAGAUUGAGUGCCCUAUUUGCCUUGGUAUGUAAUUUAUAAUUAAUGCUAGAUUUCCUUAUUUAUUACUGCAAAUAUAAUAAAUUUUACUGUAAAUUUUGUUCUAAUGAGAUAAUAUAACAAUAGUUGAUUAAAUUCAAAUGAAAUGGUCAAAAUGUUGAACAAACCAAUUUAAUAUUAGUUAAUGAGAAAAUCUAUGGUAAUAUUUAUAUAUUCAAAUCGAUAGAUUAUAUCGUUCAACACCGUUGAAAACUUAAAGAUGAAUCUAUGAACAAACUCACAACAUCCAAGUUAAUAGCAUAUAACGGCAUAAUUCCUACAAAAAUAUAUGAUAAAAUUAAAGUGACAGGAAUACUCAUGGCUCCAGAUCUGCAAUGUUGACUCCAAAUCUUUUAUUGAAUAAUCGAUCUUUCAAUAUGAAUUAAAUAAACAUCGCAAAAAGACGGGAAAUCAAAAAAAGUCGCACAAGAUGACGAACAACACACCACCACACUCAGAUAACGAAAUCACGAAGAAAAAAUAUAGAUCUAUGUGAAGAUCUAUGUGAAACUCGCUUAUUUAGAUUGAAAUAUAGAGAAAAAGAUGAAGAGGGUGAUUUCAUGUCAAAAAUUGACCUAAAAUCACCCAUCAAUGAAGAAGUGGAAGAGAAAACCUAGAGAGGAAAAACUAGGGCCGGUUUGUUAGAGUGAGGGAAAAAAAUUCAAUAGAAAUUUAAUCAUAUAUAUGAAAUAACGUUGUAAUAAUUGGACAAAACAUUGCAUUAUUUAAUCGAAGUUUUUAUAAAAAUGUUGUAAUAUUCAUGAUAUAAUGUUGUAAUAAUGGAAAUCUCAUUCACAACAUCUGUUUUAAGAAAGAAAAUCUUUCUAAGGAAAUUCUUUGUUCAAAAUUAGAGGUACACUGAAGGGUCCUCGUGAACUUAGCUCAGUUGGUUGGAACAAUAUAUAAAAUAUGCAAGGUUUAGAAUUCAAACUCGACGACUACUAAAGAGGUACAAUGAUGGUAUUUAUAGGUAGAACCAAUAAACUCUAGAUGCACUUUAAUUAACUUCUCAGUUAACACACAUUUUUCUAUAAUUAAAAAUAUUUCCAUUUUUUUCUAUAGAUAUCUAUAAAUAAUUAUAUAUGUGUCUAAAUUUUAAAUUAUUAAUAAUAUUUCUCUCCCUUAAUUUAAAUUUCUCUUCUUCAUGUGGGGUCCUGCUCUCAUUUUGUGCAGAUUUGUCUUUUUCUCUUAAUUUAAAGGUGUACACAUCACAUGAAAUGUACACAAAAUAUUUUCCUUUUUUUACAUGCAAAAGUUUUGGUGAAUCAAGUCUCGAGAACUUUUUAGGAUUUGAGCUGACCUCAUAGCCUUUAAUUUAUGUAUGUUUUGAUAUUCACACAACACAUUGUGUAUACUUUGAUGUUGGAUAAUGUAAUUAAGUUUAUGUAUAGUUUUGUGAUGAGAAUAAAUGAGUUGAAGGUAAAAAUAAAAUAAUUGUAUUUGAAUACCUCUAAGUAAAAAUGAUUUAAACUUUAAAUUUAUUUAUCAAAAUCAAUCUAUAAUAAAAAGUUACACAUUCUAAUUUUAAGUAAAAUUGAUUAUAUUAGAAAGCAAUGAAACAUAUCAAAAUCGAUUCUACUAAUCCUUAAUCAAUUUUAUUUGACCCCUUUAACUUUGUAUAAAAAUCUUCUUUCAUUUUCUUGAGUCAUUUUCUGUCCUCUGGUUAGAAAACAAACCAAAGUGAUAACUAACCAUGUGGGGAGGGCCAUCCUUUUUCAGUGUACGGCACCCGGUUUUGUAACACUUCUUAUCAUCACCAACAUUACUUGAGGAAAGGACGAUUCCAAUAUAAACAAGUACACUUUUGAUGUGGAAUUUAGCCAUGUGAUUCUCUCAUCUCAUGAAAGAUUUUUAUCACUUGGAUCCCACAACCUGGUGUCAGCAAGAAUUCCACAAUUAGUUUAGUUUAGAGAUUAAAUGUAUGAUUUUAUGGCUUUCCACUUGGUUUUCAAGCUAUAAAUACAACACUAAAAUUUAGCUUGAACCGACCAUUAUUUCAAGAAUUACUAAGUCAAGCAGAAAAAGAGUUUGGAUUCAAUCAUCCCAUGGGUGGUCUUACAAUUCCUUGCAAUAUACUAGAAUAGGAUGAAAAAUAAAAUGUACUACAUAAUUAGAAUUUUGCUAGAGUUUCUAACUUCCUUGUUCUUUUGUCACCGUCUCUAAACGUCUUGCUAGAUAAAAUAAAAUUUGGAAACAUCCUAAUUAUGUAUCAAUUCCUUGUUCUUUUAGUAUCAAUAAAAUUUGUUAAUUAAAAAAAAAAACUACCUAAUUAUGUAUGUACUAUAUAAUACAUUCACUAUUCCUUGUCUCGAAGUUUCUAACAUGGGAGACCAAAUUCACUUGUCACCAGUAUCACUUUGCUUGCUAGGGAUUGAGUUCAUUGUUUCUAUAGUGUUAAUCGUAGAGUAUGAUUCUUCGGCUUAAAUUUUUACGAACUUUUGUUUAUAAAUUGUGCUCGUUGAACCUUUGUUUUCGUCUCAAAAACACACUUGGCGGUAAAGAUCAAAUCAUGAGGUAAGGGUGAGAUCAAUUCAAUUCAAUUCAAUGGGAUGAUGUGUGUAGUGAUCAAUAAUGAUAAAUGAGAAUGUCUCAUUUCUCUAUUUUGUCUAAGACAAGGUCAAUUGUCGAGCCCUAAGCAUGAGCUAAAUGCGUUAAAUGUGCAAUUGGUAAAUCGAUCCUAAAAUGAGAAAUAGAAACACUAUAUAAUAUAGUGUUGUGUAUGGGAAUGAUGUGUGUGUGCAUGCAUUACAAUGAAUUACAAUGAAUUGUGAUAAAUGUACGUACUAAGUCCUAAUACAAGAAAUAUUAGGAUCUACGAUCUAGAUGCAGGGCCGUUUCUGUCAAACUGGAGGCCUGGCUCUCUUAUUAAAACGAGGCCCAUAAAAAAAUAAUUUUUUUUAAAAGAGUGAAAAAAAACUAUAAUAUUUUAUUUUAUAUUUUUAGAGAAUAGAGAAUAUUGAAGACCUCAAAUCAAUUAAAACUAGGCCAAAAAAGACCCUAUCAUAUUGAAAAAAAUACAAUUAAAAAAAUAUAUAAAGAUUUGACCUCACUAGGAAUUGAACCAUAGACCCAAAGCACAAUACUACCAUACUUAACCAUUAGGCCACGCCUUCCAAACCAUUAAUGUUACAAUGUUAUGUGUAUAUAUCAAUAUUUUCAAUACAUCAUAUUAAAAAAAUAAAAUUGAGGCCCAUCCUCGGGGGAGGCCCAGCUCGUUUGAGCUGUUCGCACCCCCUCAGGGCCGGCCCUAUCUAGAUGCAAAGUGUGAUAAGUGUUAAUUCUCUAUUGACUACGAUUGGAUUAUUAUCAAGGAGUGAUAAGGGCAAAAGAGAAUGCAAGAUCUAUGAUUUAUAUGUGAUAACCCAAAAAAAAAUGGAACAAGAGAACAAAAAAUAGCAUGAUGAAAGUAUAUUAUCUAAAUUGUAUACAUAAUUAAAUUAAGAGUCACGAGUGUCCUCAAAACAAUUUUAAAGGAUUUUAAAUUGAAAAAUUAUUCUUAACUUCAAUUCCCAAAACAAUUUUAAAGGAUUUUAAAUUGAAAAAUUAUUCUUAACUUCAAUUCCCAAUUUAUUAAAUGCCUAAAUUUUCAUAAAAACUUAUUGUUUAAGGUGUUUAAAGAGUAUCCUAAACACUUGUUCACAUUUCCUUUAAAUUUAAAUUAAAUCAACUAAUAUAUGAUGGAUUACAUGCUAGGAUAUAUCUAGCUCUAUUAUUUGCGCCAGCCAUACCCACUCUGACAAUUAUACAUGUACCAUGUAGAUAUUUAACUUUGGUAUUCUGACGAAUAUUCUCUUAUCAAAUUAAUAUGGGAGAUCAAUACACUUUCAGUUUUUUAAUUAUUAAUUAAUUUUUCAAUUUUGUGCUUUUGGUUUUUGCAUUAUAAAUGUUAUUUCUUGCAACUCUAAUUAGAAUAUGGGUUGAAGUACUAUCUAUCCAUAAUGUAUCAAAAUUUCCCCAUCAUUCAAUUAUAUUUUUUUAUUAAAAAAUAUAUUAACUUAGCGUGACAGUAACUUAUUUUAUUAUUGUUUAAAGUAUCUUAUCUAUUAUUCAUGCAAUCAAAUUUGAUAAAAUAUCUGUGUAAAUUAUCUUGCACUACUUAUAUACUGUCUUUAUAUUCUUAGAAUAUUUAGUAUGAAACGGCUUAUCGAAGGUUAACUUAUACUAACACGUGUCAAAUUAUCUUAGCCUUCUGGUUUGGCCAAAUUUCCUUUUGUCAUUUCAAAUAUUUAAAAGUAAUCUUGUCUCUUCAAACUUUUGAAUCUGCAAAUUAAACCUUUGUAUAUAUCUAAAAGAAAGUUUUAUUUUAUUUUAAAAGAAAGUUACCUGUAUGAUUUUUUUAAGCAUAUUAUAUGAAUAUUUUUUCCCUGUUGCACACGAAAAAUAAACUUUACUUUUUGACUGGAAAAUUUUAAAUAAAAUAAUGAUAGUAAAAAAAGUAUUUAUACUUAUCAAAAUAUAUUGAGCUCUUAGGCCUAAAAUAAUUUUUGGAUGACUAAAAAAAAUCAAAUAACACAAAAGUAUGACUUUUUAGUUAAAUAGUCUUCUAACAAUACAUGGACAUUGACGUUCUAAAAAAAAAUCUUACUCGGCUUGGUACUAUCAUAGGCUACAAUCUAGUUUUUUUGCUAAUGCUAAGAAUUGAUUGAAAACAAAAAAGGGACAUGAACCAACAUAGAAAAGAAAAACAAAUAUUAUUCACCCUAAUUCUCACCUUAAUUCUUAAUGGGUUAGGCUAACCGGUGCCUUUAGGAUAAUGGUUAAGGAAAUCAAAAAAAGAAAGUUUUAACUUGAAAAUACCAACUUUUUAGACUUUUGAGAAGUUGAAUGCACAAGUUCCAAUGCAAGAUUACUAUAUUUGCUUCUCUAACCAUUGCCCUAAGGGCACUGAUUAGCAUUUCCCAUUUUUAAAAUACAAUCUAGUUCCUUAAAAGACGAUCUGACGUAUUCUCACCCUAAUUACUUAAGAUAAAGAAAUUUGAUUUGUCACACAGAUAUUUUUGCAUUUAAUUACCUUUUUUUUUUUUUAAAUUGUAGAGGUGAAUCAAUUUGGUCUUACAAAUUCGUCCUUAAAAAUAAAGGGUCAUCAAUCAAUUCAGUCAUUUUUUCUUAACAUAUAUGAAACGCUUAUUGGAGUAUAUUUAUACAAAUUUGUUUGGGGCUUCCAUGCAUAUCUAUUUUGCAUUAGAAGUGGAUUAUACAAAUUUGUAUAAAUCAUUUUGAUUAUAAAAAGUAACUUGAUUAAAGUAUAAGUGGAAAGUCUCAAAUUGACUAAGAAUGUGUUGAAUGUUAGAUCCAUAAUAAGAUAGAUGACUCAUGUACUUAGUGUCUUAAGAUUUUAGAUGGAAAUGUGAUAUCUCCCUCUUUUAUAGUUUUGGAGCACUGAUAAGUGUUUAUUUGGUGCUCUUCGUACUCCAUAAUAAAUGGUAUCAAAGCCCUACUUUAGCUUGACAGGGGAGUAGAAUCAUGUCACUGAAUCCAUUUAUCGAAAAUCUUUUUAGGGAUAUGUUAAGGAGGCGUGUUCCAUUGAUAAUAACAAUAGUGUAAGUAUAGGAUGAACGAGUCUCAUAUUUGAAGCAAUGGCAGCCACGGUCACCCCGUCUUAAUUUUUUUUUUUAAUACCUUAGAAUUUAGCAGAAUUGUAAAUGAUACCUUAAUAAACCCACUUUUUUUGUCUAGUACACUUAACUUUGUUUUCUUUACCAAUUUCAAUCACUCUUGUUCAUUACAUAUUAUUAGAUUGAGAAACAAGAUGAGACUUGGGUUUCUAGAAGAUAGCAUGUCAGUUUAUAUUGAAAGGGAUAUUAGUGCAUGUAUUAGUUCCGAGUCAAUUAUUAACAAUUUUAAGUCACUUGAAAAGCGUAAAACGUCACUUUAAGUACUUACUGAUUGACUUCAUAUAUUACUAUCGAAAAGACGGGCACAUGUUUUUUUUUUAUUGCGCUAACGUUUAUAAAUUAUAAACGGUGCUUUUAUAUGAAAUUUUAAUUUUGAUUAAAAGUAAAAAUAUAUAUGUUUUUUUCUUUCAAAUUAUAACAAAUCAAAAUUAUCUAUUUGAAUGAAACCAACAAUAUAACAAAAAAAAAAUCUAAAUUCUUAUUUUUUUAUUGCACCAACAACAAUAUUUAUUAUAAAAAAAAAAAUUGUUUAAGGGCAUAAUUGAGAUAAUGAAAAAGUAAAUAUAGAUAACUCAUCUAAUUUGUUACACUUUUGAAUGAUCGAUUAUUGGUUUAUUACAACUUAAAUGUAUUGUAUGCAAUAUGAUUUAUUUAUUUUAGUUUAUUUUGAUGGCAGUCACCUCAAAUUUUUUUAUCUGAUUCCGCUACUGAUUUGAACAAGAAUUUGUAAUAUUAAAAUUUGAAUGCUGGAUAUAUAAGAUAGGUGAACCAUAUCCCAAAUAUCUUAACAUCUUUGACAGAGAUGUGGUAUUUCAAUCUUUUAUGGUCUAGAGCAUUGAUUAUGUUGUUACUUCUAACCUUCUUUUGGACUCUCCAACAAAAAUCAGUUUAUCUUUUUAUCCAAUCUUCAUACUUUAGAGUAUUUUACAAUAUCAUCCAGUUAGAACACAAACUCAAGUGACAACGAACCACGUGGGGGCCAUUCUUAAUCAGUGUACGGCACUCGGUUUUGCACACUCUGUAGCUCUACCUCUUUAUCAUCACAUUCAUUAUUUGAAAGGACGAUUCCAACAUAACUGCGCUGGCAGAUAUAAACAACAAGUACACUUUUGAUGUGAAAUUUAGCUUGCUAAACAAAACCAUGUGAUUCUCUCAAGAUAAUUUUUUAUCACAUGGGUCCCACAACCUUGUGUCACCAAGAAUUCCACAAUUAGUUUAGAGAUUUAAUUAAUGUAUUAUGUUUGGCUUUCCACUCGGUUUUCAAGCUAUAAAUACAACACCACAAUCCUCACUCAAGAAACACAACCUUUCCAUAACAAUAACAACUCAAAUACAUUCAGCUCCAUUCAACAUUUCAGCUAUCUACUAGUAAUAGUAUCAUCAUGGGUAUUCGUUUGCCGUUUAUGGCUCUUCAAGCAAAACAAAUAUUCAAGUCUACCUCAACACAACAACAGUCCAAUGUUCCAAAGGGACACAUAGCAGUCUACGUUGGUGAGUUGCAAAAGAAACGGUUUGUGGUUCCAAUAUCAUACUUGAAUCAUCCUACCUUUCUUGACUUGCUUAGCAGUGUGGAAGAAGAAUUUGGUUACAAUCAUCCAAUGGGUGGUCUCACAAUUCCUUGCAAAGAAGAUGCAUUCAUCAAUCUUACCUCUCAACUACGUGCCGUGUGAAAGAUUUCUAUAUUUUUUAUAUACUAGAUUAGAAUAAAAAAUAAAAUGUACUAUGUAAUUAUGUAUGUACCUAUUAAUAUUAUUCACUUCAUUUUUUUCUAUUUGGGUUUCUCCUUCUAACUUUAAUCUUCUUGACCAACCAAUACAAAAUGUUGUAUAUUGUUAUAUAAAAUAUAAUGUUUCUUCCACAGAAGCUAAAUUGCCAUGACAUUCUGAAAAGUUUGCUAUUGAAAAAUUCAACAUCAAUAGUUCAGUUGCUGGCAUUUUGUAGUUUAGCCACAUUUUCUUCUUCUUACUCUUCUCCGAAAUCCAAAUGGCUAGGUUUGUUUCUAGCUCGUUCCAUGUGUGCAAUAGGUGAAAAGCUUUCACUUUUCUUUUUUCUUCUUUCAGUUGAAAAGAGAAAAAACAUAAUGGUAGUGACAUGACAAUAGUUCAUACGUGUAAACGAACAAAUUAUUCUCAAAUUGUCUGAUAUGGUGGAAGAACUUACAAAUAUCAACAACAAAAUCAUCUGAUAGACCGAUGUACAUAUUUUCUUUAUAUACCUACUUUUUAGUAUACACCUAGAGAGUUCUUGGCAAAAAAGUACAUGUAGAAAUACACACAUCCAAUAUCAGCAUCUCUAUUAUCAAACAUUUAUAUAAUCCGCGUUGCAAAGGCCACAUCGGUGAUCACAAGAACAAGAUCUGUGCCAUCUUAUAUUCAACCAUGGUUUUUUCAUCAAAAUGUACUCGUGGAGAUGUUCUACACUUUCCCUGCUCUUAGCAUUCAAUGGCCCCAGCACUCAAGAAGGCAUUAUCUACAGCUUUCUUGGGUCUAGAUUACUCUUCUACUAUACCAUUAGGAUGAAGGAGAUUUCAACUUCUAUUGAAAAAACAUUAAUGAUGGUAAUCGAUGCAUGUACACUUAGUCCAGAGAUAGAUUUCCAGUUCGAAUGUUUCGUUGCUGAUUGCUAAUAUUUUUGCCGAGUCGUAAUUGGGUUGAGCUCCAAUCACCUUGGAAACCGCCGAAUGGAGAUGCAAGCUUUGGCUGAUACCAUUUUAUCAAGCCCAGACUGUUUAUUCUAAGUUUCCCAUUUGAUUCACUACCCUGGUAAGGAAUAUGAAGCCUUCUAAACAACGCUGCAACUGCUUGGCCACCUCUGAAGUCAAAACAUUGCAUAUUUGUCAUACAUAACAAUUCUUAGACAAUAUUUUAUCUAGACUCCUUGUGCAAUUAUACUGAAAAAAUGAAAAUAAUUCACACAAGAACACCUAAGAUCAUCUUCCCUUAUUUCAGCCACAUAAAAAUCGGUCAGACAUUUAUGACAAAUUCUCCUAAAAACAUAAUGCAAAUUGCGAAAAGAUUAAGAUGAACCUGCAAGUAUCAAAAUCGUACCAGGGGAUAGUAAAUGACCCCCAUACUUCAAGAAAAAUUGAAAACGAAACUGGAAAUUUGAGUUGCUCGGGCAUGGACACUUAAUACUAACAUGUGGAUAGACCACCAAAGUAAGUAAAUCAGUAAAAUAUAGUUGUCCCUAAAAUAACAUCUAGAUGACAGUUGCACAAAUAUUUCCAUAUUUGAUAUGGCAGUCUAAAAAUGAAACAUAAUUCUGCAUUUAAACAUAGGUGUGUUCUUCUUGCUCAGAAAAUUUGAUUAGUAGCUCGUAUGGUAAGCUUGAACAAAAUGUAUUGUUGCAGAUAUCAGGUAACAAUAUGAAUUUAAAAAAUGCUGUUUGUGGAUGCAUUUGUGAUUGACUAUUCUCACCUUUCUGCAAGUAUAAUAGUCUUUUCCCCUUCCGGAGACAAAAGUUUUGUUUCUUCUACAGGCAGUAAAAUGAUUAUAUUGGGUAGUUUUGCACCUGAAACAUUUUCAUGGGGAACAAGAAAAGAAGUCAGUAGGCUAUAAUGUAAACAAUAUUUUCCGCUGCACGCCUACUGUUGGGUUAAUAACAUUUUAAGUAGCAAAUGGAAACUAUUCAUUGACCAGGUUUAUUUAAACAAAGACUGAUAAAAAAAAAUUAGAAAAUCUAAAACUUAUUGUUAAAAGGAAAACAACUACGAGAUGUUAACUAGCAUUAUCACCAAUUGACAAAUAAAAAAUGGAUCAACAAGUGAGUGAUCAAGCUUGAGAAUUAAAUUGAUUGGGAAAAAUGUCAUAAAAGCAAAGCUUUGUUCACAAUCUUUGCUGCAGAGUACCAGAAAACAAUCCCUUAUAUUGGAAAAAUCAUUAGGUAGAAGGAAACGAAAAAAGCACACUAGGGUGGUGGAGAGACUAACUUGUGUGUGAUAAUCCUGUUAACAAAACGUGGAUAAUAAUACUUCAGCAAAUAAAAUAAAGCACAGUCUUUUUAAUCAUAUGUUGUUAGCUAUUCCUUUCCAUACAACCGUUAAAAUGUUUUAAGAAAUGAAAAUGGCAAUUUUCACUAUACUAAACAUAUUUUUAUAUCGAAAUAUCAUAAUCAAUUCUCAAUUUAGCUAUUUUUAAAUAAAUUUCAACAUAUAUAUCACGCAAGAAUUAUAAGAAAAAAAGAUAGAUAGAGGAGAUAACCAUUCUAUGAAGGAAAACUUCCUUAUCAAAAAGUACAACAUGCAUAAUGCAGACUGAUAGUAAUAUAGACGAUGAUAUUACCUGCUGCUAGUCGAUGCUUGAGACCUUUCAAAAUAGUUAAGAGGUAUACCUGGAACAUUUACAUGGAUUUAGGGAUAUGAAUUUCACAAUUACAGCAGCUCAAUUAUUUAUCUACUGCGUAUAAGUUUACAUCUUCAAAUUUGCAAAUAUUCCAAUAAUAUAUCACGUUUGAAAGACCAUAAAAGUGAAGAUGCAGAAAAACAAGAGGCUAUUGUUAUUUCCAACAAUUGGAUCCAUCAUUCAAACUCACUCAUAGGUAAACAUAUUCCCAUAAUAACAUAAAUGAAAUUUAUCGCUUAUUAAUAAUAGAACAUAGUAAGCAUAUCCUUAAAAGAUUUUGGGCUAUUCUUUGGAAUGUCUCUGUGUUGGAAUAUCAAGUGUGAGUAAGAAGUCUCACACUGGAUAAAAAUGUGAGUGUUGAGCAACAUAGAAGCGAGGGGAUCCAUAUAUCUAAUGUGUUAAGGUUUUGGGAGAAGAUGUGAUGUCCAAACCACUUGAGUGAUUGUUCUUAGCCCUAUUUGAUGAUCCCCUCAUGAGUCAUGACCCAACACCUAUCCAUCCAAAUACCUUUAAACUGAUAUAUACAAUACUGUACUUUUUAAACAGGGAAUAAAACUGCGGGCUGAAAUAUUUUCCCAACUACAAUUGAGGUAAUGAAUUCCACAUGCAACUACUCUCUUUCUUUGGUGUUUGGCAGUUAAAAUGCAUUCUUGCAUGUAACAUAAAUUAUCAUUGCAGGAGUAUUUUAAGUUUUAGACACGCUCACCUCAGCAGUAAAAGCAUCCAACUCUUUAGCAUCGAUAACAAUUGGAUUCAUUUUAAGUGAUACAGAUGGAACAACUCCAUAUGAAGCAGCUUCCUACAUGAUUAGAACAGCAUCAUACGAUAUCCGGGGUCCCUUAGCAACAAUAAUACACAAUGAAUUUAAUAUAAUUAGUUUCAGUUCCAUAUUCCGUACUGACCUCAAGUAUUGAAAAAGCGCGAGGAUCAUAUUCGCCAAACCCAUCUAUCAACGAACAGAGGUUUGAAGUUUUUGAGCUUUCAGCAGUUACUCCCAGGUUCUCAACAAGUCUAUUUCUCACAUAUGUAUCAUAAGGGAAUUUCAAGCAUCCCAGAACUUGUGACAAUAUUUGACUUGUAGGCUUUUCACCAGCUCCUAUUGUUUCGCGAUACACCAUUAAAGCCAGUGAUGUCCUAAGAGUAAAAAGCAGCAUUAGAAACUUCACAAAGAAAAUAACCUGGAAGAGAAGGCCAACUAAAUUAAUGGUUAUAACAAAUAAAGAAAGGAGUGAUUCACAGAUUUCACUUAUGUUACUAACUCUUAUUUUCUUCUUCAACAGAGAUUUUUUGACGAAAUAAAUGGGGGAAAAUGGAUCACUUCAAACAAAAUAAUAAAUUUCUUUGAGGGGAUAAAACACAAUAUUAAAUAAAUACAAUAGUUAUACAAAAAAAACAGCAAGCUGACAUACCUAAAUUGAAAAAAAUAAAAAAGAAUGUCUGUAUAUAAAUAGUUCGUAUGACAGAGAAUUACCAUUCAUUAUUAACUUGUGGCCGCCCUGAGUCAAAAGAUAAAACAGUUUCACCAACAAGACAAGCCUUCUCAAAUCUUCGCAGGCACAUUCCUUUCAAAGAAAUCAAAAUACUAUCAGGAUUAACAAACCAUGCAACUCUCAAGGCAUAAUAUAUGAGUAGAUUUAGGCCUCGAAAUUAUCAGAGUCUAUGAUCUUUUUCUUUAACUUCCCAUGAAAUAAAGAAUUAAAUUCAUAACCAAAAAGCUGUUAAAAUCAUGAGUAAUGCAUUUUCUUUUAUAAUUAAAGGGGAGGAUUAAUGUUCACCAUAUUGCUGUAUUAUGAAAGAAAAAGUCGAACGUUAAAUAUAACUUCAAUUUCAAUGUACUUGCAAACAUCACUUAGUGAGACAAUAGUUUUAUGAUAACGAAGCUCCAGACGAGGGGAGGUAAAAGCAAAAAUAACACUGGGAACCACAUACUUUUUUAAAGCAAGUAGAAAAAUAAUCGAUAAAUCUGACAAAAUCCUACAAUGCUCACCAAUUAUGCAUCGACACAUGAUGAGAGUAGGUGCUGCACCAUCCUUUUUGGCUUGAGAAAGGAGCAUUUGAGCAGCUUCCAUAUCAUCCUUCCUACAAAAGCAGGCAGAAAAUAAAUGUGUCCAAGUAAGAACCCAAACUAAAUCAUUAAUUUGACAACACAUCCACAUAGACCACUUACUUCUCACUUGCCACUAUAAGUAUUGAGAAUGUGAUACUGUUUGGGCACAAUCCUAAUCCUUUCAUUUCAGAUAAAACCUCCAAAGCCUUCUGAAAUUGAUCCCCAUCACCUGUACGGAACUCACAAUGUUUUGAAAUCCAUUUUUCUAAUAAACAACUAUACCUAAACAAUGCAACUGCACACAUCAGGGAGAGGGGGGAAACAACUGAAGAAGGGCUAAAAUUUAAAACGAAGUUGGAAGUAACCAUAUUUCAGGCAACACUAAGGUAGAGAGGGUUUUCCCCGUGUCAUUAAUUAAAAGGAAAUGUUUUAGAAAAAGAAACGUUAGCCAAUGUCAAGUUAUCUUUGCAUUUACUGGCUUGUCCUUAUCAAAUCUCAAUCACUUAAAGUAUAUUCUUGCAUAUUUAAUGCUACUUCUGGGUAAUAGUUUCAGUGAUCGUGCUUUUGGUUUAUUUACAAGGUUACCAAGGGUUAUUUCUUUAGUUACAAGUUUAGUUACUUGUAUAAAAAGGUGUUCGGUAAAGAGGUUGACAAAGUUAUCUCUCAUUUCCUGUUUCUCUCACUCUUUCCAUCUUCUUAUUCUUUCUCUGCUCUUAUUUUCCUAGGGUUAUUUUUAUGUAAUUAGGCAUAUCUAUAAGCUUUGGUUUUGUCGGUUAUACUUAUAUUAGUAAAUCAACGUGGAUUAGUUAAUUGUAUAAAUAGUGGCCAGCUUCCUUGUCUUCACUUGUCAACUCUUGGUCCCCUAACUUUAAUUAGUCCUAAAGUCAGGCAAUAACUUAUUUGUUAUCGAAGAACGAAUGAAGAAUAAUUUCUAACGAAUCUUUAACUUUAGCACUCAUGUGAUACAUCUCUUUGGCCUCUCUUCACCAUCUUAUCUAAUUUGAUUUCUCUCAAUGAAGUUUCUCUUGGGAUGUGUUUACUAAACCAAUUAACUUAAAGUUACCCAAUUUCAUUAACCCCUACCAUUUUCCUUCAAAUUUAGUUACUUUUCAUAUGAAAUACUUCUCAAAAUCAUUUACCAGCAUCCUAAAUCAAUCACUUAGUGUUGAAGCAUAAAUAUCCUGAAUGAAUGAAAAUAUGAAAUAAUAAAUAAAUAAAUAAAAAGGAAAAAGUCAAACUUACAAAGUGCAGUGAGCAAAGCAUUAACAGUUGAAACUGUUUGUACCAACUUAAGAGAUUUAAGAUAUUCGUAUAGCUCCAAUGCUCUCUGCCAAUUUUUUGCCUGAAACAAGAAUUUGCCACUAGUUACAUUUUAAAGCAUGGUGAGCUCAUUACAGGAAACAAAAGUAUCGAAAUAACAUAAACUCACAUGGAAAUGAAACUUAAAAGCUUGCUGUAGUUGAUUUAGGUUGUACCUAUACUUCAUAUGCUACAUCAAUUUCUCUAAAAGUAUUUAUCUUAGGGUUCUCAGAUUAAGAAGUUUAGUUUUGUUAUCUUUAGCUUCUAGAAGCAGGGUUGUCAACGAGAACAGAAAAUCCUUGAAUACUACGCUUAGCGGAUAACAUCUUACAUGCCUACAUAUUUCUUAUCUAAGAUAAGUAGCUAGAGUGCCAGUAAAACCUGAUCAUCAUAGUGAAACCCAUUUCUUAUAAUACAUACUCAAAUAGAAAACCUGAUAAUAGUCAUUUAACUGAACCAAAUUCUCCUAAAUUAAAGGCAUAGUAUGAAAGUAAAAUAAUUUCAUAUUAUCUGUUUUUAAUACAUAAACAGUAUUUAAAUAUACUUUAUUGCUAAGUAUACUUUCAGUCCUUGUCAAUUCCUUUCCCGUACAUGCAGAUCCUGAUUUUCCUCUGUUACACAGCAAAAUCAAUUGCCCAACUUUUUGGGCUCCACAACUAGAAGAUGCUGGGAUAAGACCAGACUACUCAGUGAUUUCAUUUUUCCGAGUCUAAGGAGAGGCAGCCAUGUGUAUCAACUGACAUGUAUAUUACUAUCUUAUAAAAUAGCUUAGGUUACCGGUAAUCUAUUAAUUUUUUAGAAAUUGCAAGCUGACCCCUAAAUGAAUAUGGGUGAAGCCUCUGAUUUUUGUUCCUCACUCGAUCCUCCUAGCAUUCUAACUCGUGCACAGUACAAUUAUCGUCACAGCUGCUGCCACUUGCAUGAUCAAGAAGGCAUUCAACUUGAAACUGUCCAGUUUUGAUUUAGGAAAAGCCCUGGCUCCGAUUCAGAUUAGGGGAAUCCAAAGCGGCUAGUGAAGAAGAAUCAAAUGAAGGUCGUAAGACUUUCCCUCCAAAGAUAUUGAUUCUUACAAAUGGGGGAGAAACAGCAUCAUCUCAUAACAAAUAAACUCAGCAGGAGAGGGAAAUCUAGGUUUGCAUCAUCGCAGUUAAGGAAAUAUGUAAGUUUACAUCACUAUUGUGAAUUCAUUUAUUUCAGUGGUAAAAUGUUUACGGUAAAAACCCAGUAAACUCACUGCCAUGGAGGAUACAAAGAGUUGUGACUUUUGACUAUUUGUACUUGACUGGAUAUGGUAAAGAUUGCAUCCCGAUGAAAAAAUCAAAGUUGCUUCUCUCCAACCCAAUUGAGAAAAUUCUUGAGCCUUUGACUGUGUCUAGUGCAUUAGUGGCUAUGCUUGUAGAAAUCACAACACAAGCAUGAUGGUGAUUCUAGGCAUUCUCAAAGAGCACCCUUUGAAUGUUGAACAAAGACUUGGAAAUUUGUCUCUCUGUUUGGUGGAUAGUAUGAAAAAUGAUGGAUGCAUGUAAGCCAAACGUAGUAAACCGGAACGGUUUGAUAUCUAAGUUUGCGGGCAGUGUUAACAAAGCAAUGGUGGACACUUAUAUGCAAUAAGAAAAAUAGAGAACACUUAGAUGCAGUAAAACAAAAAAGAAUUAUCACCUAUAGGUUAAUUUUUAUGGCUCAUGGUGAACUAUAUGUUUUGAUGGUUCACUUAUAAUCCACCUUCAUUUUCAUGUGCGUCAAUUUUGAUUUGUUUUUUCCUUUAAACCAUUUUACUUGAUCCUACAUACAUACCUUGCUACAGGCGCCCAUCAAUGAGCUAUAUGUCAUUAUUCCAAUCUGUACUCCUUCUUUCCGAGCUUGUUGUAGUAUAUCAAAGGCAGCCUCCAGCUUUUUAGCAUGUCCAGCAACAUCUAUUAGUGCACUCAUAAACAUCUGCAUGGUGAUUCAAUAACUUCUGUAAGCAAUCAAUGGUAGAGAAAGGACAGAACAAUACAUGCAAGAAUCGAUUCAAGAAACCACCAUACAAAUAAAGGCAGAUUUUUUUAAAAACAAAAAAAACAUGAAGAUGUAAAUAAUAUAUAAUCACCCAAAAAUUCAAAGACAUAAUACCUCAUCAGGGAGCACCCCUUUCUGGGUCAUGUCAUCGUAUACACUACGUGCAAAUUCCCAAUCUCCAGUUUGACUACAAGAAUUAAUUGCAAUUGUGUAAACUUCUGAAGAUCCCUUUAUAUUAUAUUGCUGUAUCAUCUUAUACACUUCACGUGCUCGUUCAACCUAUUGAAAUGUCAUCAUUGUUAAGUAUUACAUACAUUUCAUGAAACAUAAGAAUUACUCCAGAAAAUAGAUUUUCAUCCUAGAGGGAAAUGGAGGAAGAAAGAUCCACACCUGACCAGCCUUUGCACAUGCCUUCAUCAAUGUGCCAAAAGUUACGUGGUCUGGCACAAUAGGCUGUAUUUCAGCUUCCAUUUCUGCUAUCACAUCAAAGGCACGAGCCAUUGCUCCAGACUGUGCACAUGCAGCUAUAAGUGCAUUGAAAACAACACGAUCUGCCUUCACAUUCUACUGCAUAAAAAUAUUUCAUCAGUAUGUACUAUUAAGUAUUAACAAUUGUAAGAGGAGCUCAACAAAUACCGGUGACACAAUAUUUUAUUAGAAAAAGGUGCUGCAAAUAUUGUACCUUUGACCUCAUUAUCCCAUAAGCACCAAAUGCUUUAGCUACUUGACCAGCUCUAGCACAACCAUCAAUAAGUGCCCCGUAGGUAUGAACGUUAGGUUCCACUCCAGAAUUAACCAUCUUGUGAAACACCUAAGUAUGCAUAUUAACAUUUUUUACUACAUAUGGAUUAGAGAAAUAUAAUUAAAUAUGAUAAUAUCAUGCUAGGGUGAAUUAAUUAACAAAUCCAAGAAGAGAGGCAUUGUACUUCAAACAUUAGAUCAACUUUCCCACACUUGCCACAAGUUGAUAUUAGAGUGGUAUAAAGUUUGCAAUCAGGAUCUAGUCGAGCAUCCUUAAGAAGCUGAAUAACUUGGAAAGCCCCUGAACGCGCAACACAAAUGUCAUGCACUGGAAAGGUGGAAAAGAAAGAACCUUUUGGAGGGUAACCAGCAUCAUUUACCUUCUGAGUCUUGGGAGCUUGCACACACUGACAUAAGCAUAUUAAAUGUACUCAAUGUUGGAUUUGGAAUAAGCCUAACAUAGUCAAAGGCUUCAUUUACGGCUUUUUGUUUCUUGCAGAUGUUGAAAAACUUGGCAUGAUAAACCUAUAACCAGUGAAUAUGACACAUAAGAGAAAUUCAAAAUUGAAGAACAGUAGCCGGAAACAACCAUAAAGAUGCAUGUACCUUUGUCAUAUCUAGUAAACCCUUCAUUUCCAUAUCUUUAAGCAAUUCUACACAUUCACAUAACCUAACAAAAUCGAUGUACUUCAAGAUUAGUUUUUCAAGCUUUAAAUUCGUAUAAGAGAUGAAGGGAGGAGUUUGACAACAUUGUUUCAUUCGAAGCAAAUUUGCUACAUUUAUAAAAUUCUUAUAAGAUUUAUCUAAGGACACUUUUAUGUUCUUUGGCGUUCAUUGGGGUACCUCCCAGCUUUUAGCAAGUUAUUAUACUUGCUUAGAUGCUUUGAAGGAUCAACUUUCAGACCAUCGUGGACCCUGAUUUGAUCAUUUCUCUGAUCAACAUGCACCCUGACGUGGGAACUCUGGGGCAAAACAUUGUUAUUAUUGUGAUCCAUAUAGUUCCUUUCCAUGUCUCUCACAUAUCUGCUGGAUUUCCUCAAUUUUUUACUUGUAUGUUGUGGAGGAUAGCCUUCCUUGGGACUGGAAAUUUUAGCUGCUCCUUCAACGUACUCUGAAACAACAAACAUGAUUUACAUUAUGAAAAUUUUAUCUAAAUUUUGAUUGUUCAUCAUGAUGACAUUAUGAAAAGAUUGGCUACAUCAUCAAUGAAAUUAUAUCAUCUUGCAUUUUCUUUUAUAUAAUUACCUGCAUUUUGUAGAGAAAUAUCUGCAGAUAAUCCUAAUCCAUCCAGGCUGAUAUUUCUUAUAGCUGAUGACAGUUCUGUGCUAUUCACAAAAGAAGUACUGGGAGAUAAUGACUUGAUACUACUCAGGGGUGUCAUGGAUUCAGAUGCCAAAUUAUUGUCAUCAUAAAACAUGUACAGCCCUUCCCUAACAGAUUCACCAAAGAUGACAUUGCUUUUGAUGGCAUGAAGAUCAAUUUUUUCUUUAGUAUGGCCAUUGAUUGUGUCAAGUGCUUUGUCUAAACCAACAGAAGAAGUGUUAUGCUCAGGUUUGACCUCACUCAAAGGCAACUCAAGAGCAGAGUCAGCAACAUCUUGACUUUCUUCCACUUGUAAAGUCAUUUCCUCAGCAAAAGCUAUAGAUGCCAAUGAAUUUGAUUGGAAAGUCACAGACAAAAAAGGCUCCUCUAAUACCUCAGAACUGUUACCAUUGACACUAAAGGAACUGUUACCAUUAACACUAGAGUCAAGAACAGAGUUACCAUUGACACUAGAGUCAAGAACAGAUGAUGAUGAAUCUAAUGUCCGAGUCUUCAUGGCUGUUUCCUGCACCAUAGAAGAUUGCAAAAAUUGAAGGUGGACCUCUUGGUCCUCAAAAACAUGGUUGUCCUUUCCGUUAAGAUCAUUUAACUUCCCAAUUUCAUUCAGUGUGUUAUCCCUUUGAAAUUCUGGAAAACCAAGAAUCUGGUUAUCAAUGACCUGGUUCGCAACAUUACUUCCUUGUGGUGAUAAGGCAUAUUUUGCAUGUCCCUGUGUCAGUAGUAGUGAAAAUGUUAAGACGGUCUUAGUAAUAUAUAAAUAGAAGUAUAGAACAUAUGCAAUAUGUGAUCAAUUCAAAACUACAUUAAACUAAGCCAGAGAAGGAAACACUAGAACAUUAUGAACAUUAAGGCUCUAUUUGGGAAGGAAAAUUUUAGUUUAUAGCUUAUAUAAUCACAUGACCAAAAUACAUCUGGUUAGUAACAAUUUUUUGUCACGAACGGACUUGUAGCUUUUUUUACUGGCUUCUAGGCUCUUCUUUGCUGAUGAGCUUGUAAGCUAGUUGAUUGAAUUUGUAGUGUUUGGUAAAAUUAGCAGUUGAACUAACUUAUCAAAUGACAUAAAAAUAUAUUUUUUUGAAGUAAGAUGACAGGGGUAAAAUUGAGGGGAAAAAAUGAUAAGUUAUAAGCUUUUAGCUUAUCAAAAUAAGCUAUAAGCUAGUAAAAAAUAGGUUGUAAGCUCGUAAGAAAAUAAUAUUACCAUACGAGUUUUUUGUAAUACAAGUUUAUAAGUUAUAAGCUCAAAAUCUGGCAUUGCCAAACAGAGCCUAGUGUUUUUUGAUAAGCAACUUCAAGUAGCUUUUGAGCUCUUAGUUUAUCAUUAUUUAUCAAUUUUACCCUUCCUAUCUUAUCGAAAAAAAUUAAUAAAUAUUAAAUAAAUAAAUAAAAAAUUAUAUAAUUUCAUAUUGAUGAACUAGUUCAAAAGCUAAUUUGAUCAAAUACUACAAAUUCAACAUGUUAGGUUAGCUUAUUGAUUAUUGUUAUAACUUCAUUUUCUAUCAACUAGUUUAUCAGAUAUCUGCUAUUUUUUAGCGAACAGAGCUACGCAGCGACAUUGUAAGAGCAAAAUAUCACCAUAGCGGAAAACUAACUUUAAACAAUACCAAAAAUCAGAACAAAAAUGCCUCACCAAAUUAAAAAAAUAAAAAAAAUAAAAAAAAGGAAGAGUGUAGAGUGGAUGAACUAACCUGGUUGAGAUUCUUCUUUUUCUUAUUGUUAAGAGUGAAAUGAAUCCAAGAAACAGCAGAUAAAGUAACAACGACAACAACAACAAUAAGUUGAGAGUUUAAAGCAGCUUUGAAUACAAACCGCGGAGAAUGAAGACGAAGAAGUCCUAACUUGUUCCGUUUAUUUGGAGAACGAAGUGAUGAAGCUGAAGAUGAAGAUGAAGAUGUAGGUGGUUUGAGACUGUGGUUGCAACCAAGGAAACUUGUACGGGAAGAAGAAACAAAUAGAGGAGAAAUUAAUCUGAGAGAACGUUGGUUGCUGAAGAGUUUGUUAACAUCCAUGGAUGAUGAAGAAGAAGAAGAAGAAGGGAGAGGAGAGAGAGAGUGAAGAAUGAAGCAUUAGCAGAAAGAAGAAGAAGAGUGUGAGACUUGAAUUGAAACCAGAGGUAGAGAAACUAGUUGUUGCUGAUGAUGGAUAUCCUAUUUUAGAUGACGUGGCGCGUUUUUGAUUUUCCGUUAAUCUGCGAGCCACCACAGAUUCACUCCAACUUGCUUCUCUUAGAAAAUACCGUUAAUCAUGUAGUGGAUAGAUCAAAUUAUUACUUCUAUUUUUGUCAUAAAAUAUCAAAUUAAUUGCUGAAUAAUAUAUAUUAAAAAAUAUAUAUUGUUUAGCACAUUUAUUUUGUAAUAUUUUAGUAAUAUUUAAAUUUUUCAAUUAAGAUAGCGUGACAAAAAUGAUACGUUAUAAGAUUAAAUUGUACUUGAUAUAACUUAUUAAAAAAUGUUAUAAGUUAAGAUCAAAUGCAUCUAAAGGUCCUUUAAGUUUUUCGUUUUAAUUUAUAGUGAUAAUUACAUGUUUCAUGUUGUUUGAGGUUUUUUUACUUAUCUCAAUUUUUUUAACUUCAAUGUUAGGGUUAGGUACCGGUUCAAAUAUGAUAAAAGUUUGCAUUUUUUUUUUUUUGGGAAGUGGUUGGAAUGUGUUCUUAUCUAUUAAUAGGUUUUUGGUUCCCAUAUUCUAUUGUUGCAAAUGCUUGUCAAAAAGUGUUUGUAACUAAUCAUGUGGGGGAUUUUGGUUUAUUAUUAGAAUUGUAGGUUUUUGGUUCAAAGAUUUAUACAUUCAAAAAAUAAUUGUUGUCAAAGAUCUCUAUUUUAAUAAUAUCAUGGUUUGUUGGAUAGACAUGUUUUUUUCCGAUCUUAAUUAAACGUUUUCCUCGAGCUUGGUUUGACAUAUUCAUCACACUAGUACAAUUGUUUGGUAUGAUUCAUGUCAACCCGGUCAUUUUGUUUGUUUUUUUUUUUUUUUUUUUGCUUAGUUGAGGGAUGCAUUUAUAUUAUUGUUUAUCUACAUGACAUUGUCAUAAUUGGUAUCGAUCACCAGAGAAUGCUCCAGUUGAAACAAAAUCUUUAUAAUCAAACUAAAGAUUUUAGUAUUCUCUAUUACUUUUUGGGUAUUCAGUUAGCCCAAUCUAAAGAUAUUCUUUUAAUUUUACAAAGCAAAUAUGUUAUGGAUAUUUUUAAAGAAAAAAGUAUAUAAGUGUCAAGCUAGUUGAUACUUAUAUAGCACCAAAAGUCAAACUCCUAACUAAUUAGGGUGAGCUCCUAUCAGAUUCAGGGAGAUAUAUGAGAUUGGUUAAAACAAAUAACUAUCUAACAGUCAUUUGUUCUAACAUUUUCUUUGCAAUUAAUGUGGUAAACCGAUUCUUAAAUUAUUCUUACUAAGAACAUAUAAAUGGUGUAUUCUAUAUUCUAACAUACAUCGAAGAUGGUCUUAAAAAAGGUCUCAUUUAAGGAGAAAGAGGACAUAAUCAGAUAAUAAAUUACUUAACUGUUGAUUAGGCAUGCUCACCCAUUUAUGGGUGAUCGACUUCUUGCAUUGUGUAUUGAUGGAGGAAACUUGAUGUCUUAAAUGAGUAAGAACCAAAAUGUAAUUGCAAGAUACGACGUAAUGGAUACAUGUCCAUUACAUUAAAAUGUAGAGGACAAAAGUAGGGGAAAUAAAAAAAGAGGGAUAACAGAGACUAGAGGAACACAAACAAUGGAUCACCCCUUUUAAGUGAAGUGGAUGUAAGUGAAACUUUUAGCUUGUUAUCAACUUUAUUGUGGAUGAAAGGUUUACAUUUGAGUACAGUUCAUUUUAAACUAGAUUUUAAGCUAGAGGUUGAUUCAUUUCACGAUAGCAAACAAGAUGAUUCUGAGUUUGUUACUAUCAUUAAUAGUUGUUAGUGUCUUUUUAAUACCUUUUAUAGGAAUUUUCAUGUAGAGUUUAUUAAGAGGUAAAACUACAAUGUCGCUCAUGUUAUUAUAACACUACACAUUCUUACCUAAUUUCCAAAUUUUUAUUGAUACAUUUAUGUUUGUAUUUAACCUAGUAAAAAAAAAAUGAAAAUAGUGUAAACAAUUGAAGAAUGAGAAAUAUUAUCUUGAGAUUUAUGCAUUCAACAUGUUAAAAUAUAAAAUAACUAUUUAUAUACAAAAGUUAUCAAUUGUUUUUAUAUUUUAGUCUUUAACAAGUUCCCUAACAAAACCAUGGAAGAAUUUACUUGUCCCUCGCACAAAUUAUUGAAUGCCAAGUCGUUCAAAGCUUUGUAGCUUACGAUGUGAACAUCAUGUCAUCACAUUUUGUUGACAAAAUAUAUUUAGGGACUAAUUCCUGAUUUAUUUGUGUGACGAUUUGUUUUUUUGAAGUUAGAUUUUUUUUUGUAAGUGACGUGGCUAUUACAUGUGACAAGAAUGAUAAUUUACUAUUUUUUUAUGCAAAAAACAAAUACACUUCGUGCUAGCAUGCAUUACUCUAUUCAAAGGAAUUAGGUAGAAGUAGCUAUAGUUUAACAGUGAAGAGGUGUGAAUAGAAACCAGACACAACACACACUUUACCCUUUACGUUCUUGUGUUGUUCUUUCUUUGACACUUUCAUUUCAUUCCUCAAACUCUAUCAACAACAACAACAAUAGAAGCCAUGGAUAGGCUUCUAUCUUCUUCUUCUUCUUCUCUCAACACCAACCUCAAACCCUUCACUUUCCUUCCUCUUAAACCUCGUUUUAAUUCUGCAAGAUUCAAUUUUUUCCCUUCAAAUCGUUCUUCCUUCAAGUGGGUCGCUUCAAUUUCUCGUAACAAUGAAAACCCAUCUCCAUUUUUGUCUGCAACGCCCCUUUUCGUCAAACCAAACAAUUCACUUUCUCAUGUUGCCAAUUCUGAUAACCCUAUAAUUGAAUCUCAACCUGUCAAUAAGAUCAAUGCCACUGAUUUCAAAAAACCAAAGGUGUGUGCUUUUUUGUUUUUUACAUAGAGUUUCAUUGUCGUUUUCAUUCUGUUUUGUUUUAUUUUAAAGUUGAUUUUGUUCCAUUGUAUGAGGAAUAUAAUUGUGCUUUUUUGAAUUAUAAGAAUCUUAUCUUGUCAUUGGUAUUAGGGAACAAUCUUUGUAGUUAUUAAUAUAAUGCUGAUUAAGAAUUUAUUAUGUGAAUAUGGCUGAUUCCUUUACUCUUUUUAUUUAACUUUUGAAGCAGUUAAAGUUAGUUUUCAUUUUUGGAUCUAUUAUUGCUCCUUUUUAGUGAUGUGGUUUCUUGUUUUUGGAUUGUUGCUGGUCUAAAACCAUAAUCAAAGUUUAGAUUUUUAAUCCCAAGUUUUUUCUGAUUAAAUUUGGAUUAUUAACUUGUGGACUUGUUUAUAACUUAAUUGAUAUCAAUACAUGUAAAGUUUCACUUGAAGGUUACUUUGUUGAAGUGGGUGAUUGUGACACAAGGCCUGUUUGGCUUGCUUAUUUGAGUUAACUAUUGGCAUAAGCAGUUGUGAGGUUGUUUUGAAGAGCUUAUGAAAACAACGCAUGGCAUGUCCAUAAGUUGUUUUCACAUUUCAGCUUAUUUCCGUAAGCUCUCCACAGUAGUUUAUAAAAUAGCUUGUAGCUUAUACGAAGAGUGUAAAUUUAUUCUAUCUUUUGUUGUAGAAAUAAAUUAUUCAUAAGCAUGUAUAUGAUAAGCUUUUAAUUUAGUUGUUUAUUCGAUUAGGGUGAUAGUUGUUUAUUGUGAUUAUUAUUGUCAAGUGAUGCGGCGGCUGUUGUAUUCAUCAUAAUUUUUGUUUUAAGAUUUUUUUUUGGCCGAAAGUUACAAGGGUUUACAUUAUAUAGAUCCAAUGUACAAAUUAAUUUUCUGUUAGAUGUUUAGACUUUCCAAUAAAGCUUAUAAGGUCAUCCUUGGUACUUUUUUUUUUUCCUCAGGGAUUAACAGUUCAGACAUUUGUAAUACUCUCUGCUCUUGUUGUGCUCUUAAUUCAACCAGUUUUUGCACCAGCAGCUUUUGCAACAUUUGCAAAUGCUGCCAAGACCAGUGGUCCUGCCACAACUGCAGUUGGGGGAAAACUUAUCCGUACCGAGCUCCUAAGUAGUGCUUGGACUGGUUUCUUUGCUGGUUGCUUGCACACAUUAUCAGGGCCUGACCACCUUGCAGCUUUGGCUCCAUUGUCAAUUGGCCGUACUCGAACAGAGAGCGCUCUCGUUGGAGCCCUUUGGGGUUGUGGCCAUGAUGCUGGUCAGUUAAUCUUUGGCUUAAUAUUUUUGCUCCUAAAAGAUCGACUUCACAUUGAAAUUAUCCGAACUUGGGGCACAAGAGUAGUAGGUCUUACCUUGCUAGUAAUUGGUGCUAUGGGAAUUAAGGAAGCUUCAGAAGUUUCUGCCCCAAUUGUUGCCUUAGAAAACGGUGAAAGCAGCGUCGGCGCCUAUGAAUCACUCGAUAAUCCUGUAGCUGGAAAGAAGAAGAUUGGUUUUGCUACUUUUGCCACUGGAAUAGUUCAUGGACUGCAACCAGAUGCGUUGAUGAUGGUGUUGCCUGCUCUUGCUUUGCCUUCUCGUGUAUCCGGUGCUGCAUUUCUCAUCAUGUUCUUAGUUGGAACUGUAGUUGCAAUGGGGAGCUAUACAGUAUUUAUAGGAUCAUGUAGCCAAGCACUAAAGGAUAGAGUGCCUAGAAUAACCGAGAAACUCACUUGGGCUUCUUCUCUUAUAGCGAUAGCCCUUGGGUUUGCCAUCAUCAUUAGCCAGUUUUUUGGGUUUAGUUUGUAUUGAUUUCACACUUUAGCCAGCCGGGAAUUUUUAUGAUGAUCAUUUGUGUUAAGAAAUAGUAGGACGGUUAAGUUAAGAGAGAAAUUUUAUUGUUUGGAGAAAGUUUAUAAUUCAUGCAAUAUGUGAUGUUGAUUCCUAUGGUAUUAAUUAAUUGAGUUUGCUGUUUAAUGUAUAUGACUCUGGUAGGUUUGAUUAUUCUUCACUUUAGAUCUAUGUAGCUGUCAUAUUGAUAUUAUUAAGAUUUCAAUCGAUAUAUUGCAAUAUUCUUAUUAAAAAAAAAAAUGGCUAUUGCAAUAUUCUGUUUAUGCAUGUUUGUCUUGGAACUCAAAUACUGCAGUUCCACUUUUUUCUCGUGUCCUUAUAUGCAAUGCAUCAUUCUAUCCCCAAGAAACUGUUCCAAAGCAUAUCUCAAACCCCACAUGAGUCCAUUGUGAUGAAGUCUUGUUUAUUAUGUAGCUUGUCUCUUCCCAAUUUCAUAAACCUACAUUGAUUCCAAAACAUCCCAACGGACGACAUCCACGCCAUUGGGAGAGUGAAUAAACAAAUAGCCUUAUGCCUUCAAAAAGAAUAAGUUUAAUUUUUAAAGAGCUUCAUGGUUCCCAAGAUAAACUAAAAACUAGGGAAGUAAAUAAUAAGCUAGUUCUCUUAUUAAUCUUGUUUAUCUUAACCCUCCUGUUCCCAAAAGAAAUAGUAACAAUAUACAUUUGCUCCAAUAUAUAGUCCUUAAGCAAAAUGAAUAUUACAACCUACGACAUUUGUCAAACCACGCCUUACAUGUGUUUGGUUUCACAAGUCAUACUGUCGGCAGAAAGAAAAAAAUAAGACCAAAUCAAAAUUAGUUAGUUUUAACUUUUAAUUAAUGAUAACAUAGAUUUGAAUUUUAUUCCAAAAGUACCCGGAUAUUGCAUGGAAAUUAAGCAUGUACUUUUCACAAUGAAUAUGUAAAAAGAAUUGAAAUGUCAAUAUUGUUGAACAAUCUAUAUUUCUUAUAUUAACACAAUUUUAUUUCUUGUGCCAAAGGCAAGAGAUAGUAUAAAUGUUACUCAGUUUUAUCCUUUACAUUUUACACCGAAUUUUUUUAGUGUGAACAUCCAAAUAUAUGAUUACCACACUUCAAAAUCAUUGUUAAAAAAUUUAAAAUAACUUUCUUAAACAAUAUUCAAACACACAAAAUACUUGCCGUUACUAGAAUCUGUUUUUUUAUCUCACAAAACCAACCCUAGAAUCUCGCAAGAGUUAUAUAUACCAUACAAUACAUGAAAAUUCAGUUGUUUUACUAAAUCCUGCAAGCCAGGUCUCACCCUGCAACAGGAAAUUGCAAUAACAUUCGCUGUGUGUAAAAUAUACGCGCUUAUUCAGUAUAUUCCAAACCCCAAAACAAAAUAAUCACAAGUCAUAAUUGGUGUGACAUUUCCCCUGGUGCAGAUAAUAUUGACAGACUUCAAUUGAUUAGGAAUUCAUAACUGAACAAAUAUGUUGUAGUGUGAUGAAUAAUGAACACAAAAGGCAACAAACCUUGUGCUAUUGAAUUGUUGGCUACAUGCACGGCUGGAUUUUCUAAUUCAGCAUCGUUCCCUUUCACUAUUUCUUUGAUUACAAACAAUGGAAAACUGAACAAUUCAAGCUCAAUUGCCAUCUAGGAUACUAAUAUUUAACAUUUAGCUUGGUACUAGAAGGCAAAGGCAAGGACUUCGUGGACAUAGAAUAAACAUCAGUGCUUGUGUUUUUUGUCGAUAUCAUAAAGCACACACAUGUCUGCUGCUGUCUUCAUCUGAAAUCAUAUGGGUUGUGUGGAAGAUUAAAAUGCAGGACUUAAGCCAAUGAACAAAUAAAUUCAAAAGGAUUCGAUAAACACCUAGUAGGUGUAGCUAAAUAAAUAAUGAACAAUCAAUUCUUAUUCCCAAACUUUUGUUAUAUGGCUAAAAUGUUAAGAAUGAAACCUUACAACUUUGUUUGGGAGUUAAGAAGGGGAAGAGAGGAUAGUCUCUCACCUUGCAUAGGGGGAUUUAUUUUUCUUCAUAGGACUCAAACGUCAAACCCCCCAAAUACGGAAGAACUAGAAAUAAAUUGGGAAAGGACUUUGGAUGAGAACAAUGGAGAAUUCUCCAAAUGGCUCCAAAUUAUCUUCCUCUUUUUAUAAUAUAUACUCUCAAAACAAAGAAAAUAUUACAUCAUAAGUCUUCCCUUCCCCUCCAAAUACACUCCCAAACAAGGCGAGAGAUUUUACUCUCAUCCUCUUCUGAUGGAGCUCGGAAAUAUAGUCUAUGAAAGAUAAAUUAACUAGAACUUGAGCAAAAGCUCUUACAAUAGCAAAGUGAAAGAUAAAUUGUAGAAAGGAAAUGAUUCCAAACUACCCUAGAGCUAAACGCCUGAAAGAAAGAUAACACUCUUUCCUUGUCUAACCACAAUGGUUCCUAGCAUAAUCUUGCAUACCCACUGCCAUUCACCCACCUUACCAACUAAGCAUCCUAGCCCACUCUUUAACUACCAUAUAACCUCAACACACUCUGUAUUACAUAAUAGCCCCUUUUCCCUUAUCCCUCAUACUCAGGCCUCUACCGUUUUCUCCCCUCUCUUCCCUUCCUAACUCCCAAAAAAAACCUUGACGUCAAUUAUUGAAGUCAUAAUAUGAAGAUAAUAAGGUCUGGUUGGGGUUCAGUAGGUCUGCUUUGCAUUCUUAUUUUUCUUCAUUGUCUUAUGGAGAAUAGCAGAAGCAGAGGAAAAGUUGUUGAAUGAAUAAAUGACAACAUGGUGCUAUUCGCUCUCAAGAGGGAACUAGGAAAGCCAAACUCGAGCCUAUUGUAGACAGUCCGGUAUCAUUCUUUUGACUCAACCAGAGCUCCAGUCACAUGGAAGCAACUACAAUCAUUGGACCAAGACUUCCCUCUUCACUUAACAGGAUGAUAUUCCAUAUUAAAAAAAUACGAACAAUUUAGUACUACCAUGUUUUCUUGGGAUUCAGAUUUUCUUUUUCUCAUUAUAGGAUAGGGUGAUCAAAAACUAAAUAAACACAGCAUCUCAUCAUCUAAAAUAUGCAAAAUAAAUACACCUUGUACGAACCUGAAUAACAUUUAUAAUUUGCUUGGUUGCCCAUCCAAAUAAACUUGUGCCGAUUAGGAAAGAGAUUAAGGUUAUCUUUUGUAAAUUACUUGAUAAAACCUGAAAAUAGAAACAAUUAAGAACUAAGAUGAUCGGAAGAAACCCUCUAAAUAUCAUGGAUAAUGGGCCCAUUUGUUUAAGAUUAUAAAAAAAUAAAAAAAAUAAAAAAACAUUUUUGACACUUCAGUUAUGUUAAUGUGUAAGCUUUUUUGAAAAACAUUUCGUUAAAAAAUGAUUUUCAUGUUGAAAAUGAAAAGCUAUUUUGAAUAGCUUUUGAAGAAGUCAUUUAUAAUAGAAGAGAGAGUAGUACAAAAUCAAAUAAUUUUUUAGGUGCCAAAGCAACGUUAAUAAUCAUUUUGAAACAAACACGAUAGUUUAUGCUUUUUGAAAGGAAAAAAAAAUUAAAAAAUAAUCGUUUAAUUAUUUAUAGCAAAAUCACUUUUAUUCUAAUCUAUAACAAACAAGAGGGCGCAAUCUAAAAAGCAUCAGAAGCACAGAGAAAAUACUAACAUCCACCAAUGUCUCUGUUUGGUUCUCCGCAAGAUAAAACAAGAUUAAGUAAAGAACCUGUAGAACAUAAAGGAUAAGAAACUAAGAAAAACAAUAUUAACAAAGGUUUUUAAACAAAAUAUUAAGAUGACAGCAUAACAAUUACCUCACAUGAGACACAACAGUAAGCCAUAAACAUCCUAUUUCCAUAAUAAGCCCUGAAAAGCCAGUUGGUGCUGUCUUUUACAUCCUUAUGACUGGCUUUGCCAGCCAGGAAAGUGCUGCAUUUAAAGUAAAAAACCAACUCAAUAAAUUCAUCAAGAUCGAAUCCAGUAACUGAAGAAUCAUACAGAUUUGAGUUAGGGGAGAAAAAGAACAGUUAACUUACAAUACCUGUACAUUUGAAACCAGUGGCUGCCAAUGUCUAAGGCGAGCAAUGACAAGAAGAUCAAGCCAGGCCUGCACACAAAUUCAGCCCAAAAGUCAGGUGUACAGGCUUAAAAUCAUAGCGACUGAGGAUCAGCUCGAAAGGAGAUAUAUCUUACUUGUAUAAUUGGGAUAGAACUACAAGAAGACAAGCAGUGCUAAUCCUGUAAUUAAGAAAACUACAUUAAUUCAAAGCACACAGGAAUCAAACAAUACACAGAAUUUCAAUCAGUAUUCAACAUAUUUCUUUGGCUAGCAUGUGUACUAUUACUGAGAGUGAGAAGGGAACAAGAACGAGAAUAACCUGUCUGUUACCAUAUCCAGCACAGCUCCAAAUGUUGACACUGAAUCAAAAAAAUAACAUAACAAUAAGUAAUGAAAAAUGCAACAUUGUAUAGCGGCUUAUUAAAAAACAGCAUGAUGCGAUAAACCAUUGUGGCGUCGUGGAGCUAUAAAUGCUUGAUUAAUAUAUCGGUUAAUUAUAUGGAAUAACUGGCGCCGUGGAGCUAUAGAUGCUUGAUUAAUAUAUUGGUUUAGUGUGUGGAAUAACUACAUUUCAAAAAUAAAAAAUAAUAAGUACACAGAGACAGGAACUUUCCAAAUUGCACAGUAAGGAUAUGCUAUAACUAUAGGUUUGCCUUAUAAUGGUGCUUAAACAUAAAAAACUAAUAAAAUACCAGCAGCAUGAUUUGAGCUGAGGACCUUUAUGUUGAUAUUUAAUUAUACCAUUGAAGCCAACCUUUAUUAGCAUACAAGCCUUCCUACCAUCCUUCCUACCAUUUAUUUUGUUUAUUUUUAUUUAAUACUCACUAAAGUCCACCCUAAGCAAUGUUUCAUAAAAAAAUGUAAAAUUCAAACAAUCAAUAGAAUGCCGUCAUGGGAGAAAAACAUGGCAGCUGGCACUCAAGAAUGGAAAAGGUAAAUCUGAUCACAGAUUUAAAUUGUAAAUGCUUCACAUACAAAGAUUUAAAUGAAUUCCAUCUGUAAUGUUCACUCAGUUAGCAAAACAUGGCAGCUGGCACUCAAGAAUGGAAAAUGUAUAUAUGAUCACAGAUAUAAAUUGUAUAUGCUUCUCAUACAAAGAUCUAAGCGAACUCCAUCAGUAAUUUUCCCUCAGUUUCAAACAGAUUUUCAAGUGUUAAGAUCCAAAUGAUUUUGAAACAUUCAAUAAUCAGGAAGAGUUUCAAAAAUCAAUUUAAUCUGCCUUCACAAAACAGAAGGCAUCUGAGAGUAAAGAUAUUUAAUACAGGAUCACAUUCAGAACACUCUAAACCACAAGGAGUCAGAAAAUCUAGUCAUCCCUUAAUUAUUGACCAACUUUUGCUCAAGAAUGUUAGUGUGAUGAAUGUGGAUGCAAUCGGAUCAUAGUGGACAUUCAUAGAUUGUGUAAAGAUUUUACUUAGUCAACUAUUGAAAUUAUUUACAAUUAUCAACAGAAAAUUAUUAGUGGUCUGGCAUCAAAAAAUUAUACCUUGGUUGAAUCUUCGAGCACACCAGCCAUCCACAGCAUCGCAUACAAAGCUAGCAACACAAAUUCAGCCAAAUUAUACACGGACCCCGUAUAUAUUAAAGAAGUAAUAGUUCAAUAGAAGGAAAAAAAAAAUCCAUUAAAGUGUAUCCCACCUGAAAAAGUAGAGAAUAGGGAAAACGAUUUUGUUUCUUAAACAUAAAGAGAAGGCAAGACAGUUCAAAAGAACCCGGAUGUAUCCUGCACCAUCAUGGACGGUCAAAAGUUAAGACAGUGUAUUCUUGGAACACUAUGAGCAAGAACAUGAUAAAUCUCUUGAACAAUCGAACAAAAAACAACAGGAUUACACUGCUUACAACAAUAAACAUCUUUUGUUUACAAAACUAGUUGCUAACACAUGGCAUAAUCCUUGUCAAAAACACAUGGUAUGAUCCACUAAACAGUCCCAAAAUGGCCUGGAUAAAAUUAUGUAUUACUCGGUCUAUCUUAUCCCAAUAUAUCUAUCAAUACUAAGGUCUUGUUCGGAUAAACAGGUUAAUAAAACACUAAUAGCAUAAUCAUUUACCAUAUAAGAUAUUUGUAUAACAAAAGAUAAAAUAAAGUCAAACUAUUUUAAUAUAAGCUAUAAGAAGUUGUUUUCAUAAGUUAUCCUGGAGAGCUUAUGAGCAUGUCAUAGGUUGUUUCCAUAAAUUUUCUCAAGGAGUCUCAUGACAGGAGACAAACUCAAAUAAGCCAAUCCAAACGGACCCUAUGGAAUUAAUAGACAAUUUUUUCUACAAAGAAGUAAACAUGAGAGUAUAAUAAUGAAAUACCCACCAAUGAUAUUAGGAAUGUACAGGUAGACGGAUAAUUUACUGGACCUUGGCACCGGUUUCUUGGCCAUUGAAGCUUCUUAUACCCUAAAACUUGACUAUAAGGUAUAUAAAAUUGUCAAUCAAAUAUACACCUGCACAAAUAGUUUCCAGUGAGAAAUCCAAAGUCCUCACUCCCAUCUCAUUUCAUGCACAUAUAAGUAUAUAACCACAACAACAUAACACUAGUAGCAUCGACACUUCUGAUCGAAGACGUCGAACACUGACACGACACCGACACAUGUGAUUAGAUUGAAUUAUAUCCUUUUAUCAAAAUUUUCAACGGGUCAAUGUCGUGUUUGGUAUCCGGAGCAUAAACAUUAGAAAUGAAAUAGGCACAACCCAUUAAUGAACUUUAUUUGAUAAUAAUUAAGAACAUGAUGCAAAAAAAAAAAAAAAAAAAAAAAAGGUUAAAUUGAAUAAUCCUAUGUUAUCAAUAACAAAUCGAAUCCAAUGAUUAUUAAAAAAAAUGGACGGACUUUCUUACGGUUAGUGGCGGCCUUGGGAACUCCGGCAGCUUUUUGCGGCGAGUGGAGUUGGAGUUCAGCGCAGCUCCGAAUGUUGUUAGAGAUUGGAAGGGAAGGGGAAAGCGAUUUAUUCUUCAAAAGGAAAAGAAAAGGAACUCGAUUGCUCUUCUGAUUAGAUUUAGAAUCUCAUCUUAAUCUCUUUUAUCAUAAAAAUAAUUAAUUCAUUUCUUCCCUCAUUGUAUUAUUAUUUUGCCUAUUUGAACACUAGGAAUAUAUCUCAAGGUUUUUUAAUCGUUAAGUACGAGUCAUUAUUCCCUUACAAAAAAAAGCACUCCUCAUUUUUUUUAUGGUUAAUUAAAAAAUAAAUUGGAAUAAAAGAGGACCAGAUAAAGCUCAAAUAAACAAAACCAAGAUAAUCCAAAUUGAAUCAAAUAUUAAAUUAAAGUAGAAAACGUUUUAUGUUGAGAAAGAUAUAAGAGUGAACGGUCAACUUCGCCCUUGAAUUUUUACGGGUUGGUCAAAUUCAUCUUUCAAUUAUGCGAAAUAUCAACUUAGUCCCUGAAUUUGUCAGACGUCCAUCAAAAAGGUCAUUCCGUCAAAGUGCUCUGUUAGCCAUGUUGAUCUGUCGCCAUGCAUGCUUUGUUGUCUUGUACGUGUGGCAAGAAGGAAGCCACGUGUUCAAGGACUAAUUUGAUUGAAUUUGAAUUCAGUUUAUUUUUUUUCUUUUGCUUUCCCAUUUUGCCCCUGCAUUACCCAUACCUCCUUCUUCAGAUUUCAGUCAGAAAAAUAAAAAACGUCAUUGACCCUUCUCCUUCCCACUAAAACUUUAUCCAUUCUCACCCCUCCAAAAUCAUCAUCAUCUCCGAUGAUUCUGACGUUUUUGAAGUUUCUGUGUUCGGUUGUUUCAAAAAGGUAACGUCUUUCCUGUUGUUUGUCAAGUUUAUGUGUUCGUAUUCACCCUGUUUUUGUCCGUUUUUUUGUAUUUUCGUUUUAAGUUUUGAUCAUUUUGUUUACCACAUUUAUGUGAUCCUUGAUGCUUUCCUUGUUCUUUGUUUGUAUUUGUUGCGUUUUUUAAACAAUUGUUUUGAUUAUUCCUUUUAGGGUUUUGAGUUAAGACUUAAAAAUAUUGUGCCUGGAAAUACAAAAAGUGCAGGAAAUGUUGUUGCAAAUGCUGGACAGGUAUAACACUUACAUUUUAAGGAUCGAUUUGACAAUUAUUUAAUUAAUUGAAAGACUUAUAUGAUUGAUUAUGUCAUAGUCUAAGGACUAAUUUGAUUGAAUUUGCAAUUUCAGGGUGUUGCACCAAGGAGGUAUGGCCUUAGAAGAAUGAUUUUUUUCAGCUAAUAGGCCUAAGCAAACACCAAUGAGGGGUCCUGUACCAGGUCAUCCAACUCCUCCUGGCAUAAUUAGAGUUCCAUAUUCAACCUAUGGUCCCCCGAUUCGAAUCAACCUCAAUUCAUGGAGUUUAUACAACCUCCGGAUUUCCAAAGAAGUGAAGCUUCAUGAAGUUUAAAAUAUGAUUUUGGAUUUGUAAUAUUUAGGCUUAUUUGAAUUAUGCCCCAUAGUUAGAUUUCCUUUUGCUUAUUUUUAUUUAAGACUCAUGACUUGUUAAUGUCUCAUAAUUGGGUUUCUUUUGCAUAUGUAAUGUCUCAAACGUAUGACUUACGACCUAUGACUUUUGCCUAAGUAAUAUUUCAUUUCCAAUUUGUGUGUUCUGGAUUUUUUUACUCCAUUUUGUACAUAUAUGCUUCAAUGAUCAAUUUGAUAUCUGAUUAAACAAUUCAGGAACUUAUUUGAUGCGUUUUUAAUAUAACGUAUGAAUCUAUUUGAUAGAUAGAAAAAUAAUUCAGAGACUAAUUUGAUGGAAAUAUUAUUACAGAAAGGUUACAUUUCUGAAUUAUCUUCAACCUCUUUUGAUCACCAUUAAACUUGGAGCUUGAAGAUGAAGCUCGACUUUCAUAACAGUUUUUUGCCAUAUUCCCACCCCCCAUCAUUUUGGAUUUUAUUUCAAUAGUUUUGCUUCAAGAAAUUUUGAGGAUUUUGGUUUUAAGAUUCAAUACGAAAAAAUUAGGGUUUGAAGUUUUUUGAAUUGGGGAAGAAUUGGACCACUUAUUAUUGGAGGAAAUUUAAAUGAUUUUAGAGUGUAGAUUGUAGAUUGUGUAAUUAGGGUUCCAAUUUUAUACAAUUGGGGAAGAAAGAGCCGUUGGGGAAGAAGAGAGCAGUUUGGGAAGAAACCAAAAAAAUUAUGCAAAUCAAUCAAUUUAGUCCUUCGAAAUGUUUGUUAUUAUCGGCCAAAUUAGUCCUUGCCUACGUGACGUCUAACAUGUGAGAGGCUAACGGUCACGUCAGCCCCGUUAACGCUCCGUUUGAACAGAAGUACUAACUUGAUUGACAUUUAACAAAUUCAGGGAUUAAAUUGAUAUUUCGCAUAAUUCAUGGACUAAUUUGGACCUUAAUGAAUUUUGACAGUACAAAAUCGAAAAUUUGGCAUGGGUUAAACCGAAAUUCGCUCAAAUUAACGGGGGUAAACCGAAAUUUGCUCAAAUUACAACGGAAUAAACCGAAAUUUGGUCAAAUUACAGGGAGUGAAAUUUUCAUGAAGGUCCAAAAGCAAAAAAUCUUCAAAUUACAAGGAUGAAAUUCAAAAAAAAAAAAUUAUAGGGAAAAACGAAAACGACCUAUAUUACAGGGGGUAAAACACUAUUAACCCAAAAAAUUAUUAACUAAAAGAACAGUCGAAAAAAUUACAAUAAAAAUAAAUUACGACAAUAAUAUGCAAUCCCAGUGAUUCAAAUUAUUACGUUGACACUUUUUAGCAUAAUAUAUAUAAUAUAGAAAGAAAAUUAACGUAUUCUCGUAAGCUUAACUCAGUUGGUAUAGAUAUUGCAUAUUAUAUUUAGAGGUCAGGGUUCGAACCCUGGACACUCUACUUCUCCACAAUUAAAUUGUGUGAGUUAGGCUACUUGACAAAAAAAAAAAUUAAAGUAAAAAAUAAAAAAGAAUAUUAAGCUGGUACAUUACAAUUUACAAAGCCAUAUCACACUGUUCAACUUUUUUACUUUAGCAAAGCAAUUUUUUCAAUUAUAUUGUAUUCUAUCAUGCAUUGUCAAAAUUACAAUACUGCCAUUAAUGAAAAUUGUUACUUUUCUCCGUGUUUUCCCUUUUCUCCAAAGAAUGCAAAAUUGAAAACAGAAAUCGGAAACAUCUUUUAGCAGUUUUGCUUUUUCAAUUUUAAAAACCAUUAAAAUGAAAAUAGUUUUCUAAAACAGUUUUUAGAAACAUGUCAAUCAAACAAGUUUUUUUAUUCUAUGUUUUUAAAAACAAAAAAAUUGUUUUUGAAAACUGAAUCAAACAGACUCUCAGUCUCCCGAUCCCAACUCCACCAUUCAUAGUAUAACCAUGUAUAUGCCUUUAGCUAACAAAUACUCCCUCCGGUCCUUUUUAUUAGAAACAAAAGUGGAAAUUUUUUUGAUCCUUUUUAUAAGAAAUAUUGACCAAGUUUCAAGUAUGUUUGAAGCUAAAUUUCAUUUGUGCCCUUAUUUAUUAUGAGAGAAUAUUAAAAGUAAGUAAGUUGGUGGAAUAAAGAGUAAUUAAUUUAGGGGUAUUCAUGUAAUUUUUUUUAAAUGUAGAAAUAUAUUAAAUGAAGAUAACUAUUUUCAAUGUAUUUCCUUGAUCCUGAUGUUUUAUGUCUUUUGUUUCUUGUAUAAAGAACCGAAGGGAGUACUCGAUUUUUAUGAAGUUACUUUAAUCUUUUCCUCUAGUGAUAACUUUGAAAAUAUUUUCAUUUGUAGUUUUCCAAAUAACUCAGACAAUGGAAUGCCAAAUUAGUCAAUAACCCUUCUUUAGUUUCUUGUUUCUCGCCUCACCCAUAAGAUAAUCAAGUUUGCCCAAAUAAAUUCGAUGGUAUAAUAAUAGCCCUUCCAAGCCACCUAAAACCAUAAACCACAGAGCCACCUAAAAAGCAUAGACCACACAUUGAAAGACAAUGCACAAUGAAGGAAAAUACGGAUAGAUAGAGCACAAAGUUUGAGGAUGUCUCUUGUUGUAAACCAUUGUACUCCCUCCGUUAAUUUAUUUUUUAGAUUUAUUCAUUUAAUGAUGUAUGUGGUUCAUAAUAUGGACCAUAAAUAUCAUUAAAUGAACCUAAAAAAUAAAUUUUACUUAUAUUUAAAAACGGAGGGAGUAUACAUUACUAAGUUUCUCUUUGUUGGAAUUUGACCCAAAAAAAGAUUUUAAGAAAAAACGUCUUUUGAAGGAGUUGGACUUUUCCACAACUCAAUUCUCUCCCUCUAACAAAACAUACACCACCACCCCCCCCCCACACACACACACACACUAUCGCUCAUAUGUAAAGAUUAUUAAGGUAUGCCCCAGUUUCACCUUAGUGGUCUUGUUUGAGUUGCAUUAAGCGUCUCUAACAAUGUUAAGACACUCGUCUUGAUACAACCAAAUAUGUUUGAAUAUCUUGGUAUAUAUUCUUAGGGUCUUGCUAACCAUUGCCCCCUCGGGGCAAUGGUUAUGGUAACCAGAAUUAGUAGCUUUACAUUGAAAACAACAAUUUAUAAACUUUUUACAAGUUGACUUGACCACUUUUAAUCAUUUUCCAACAAAAUUUUUUUAUUUUUGUUCUUUUAUCCAAUACCCUGUUGAUGUUUAUACUGAUCAAUCAUAUGUGGAUUUAUUUUAGUUAAGAUGUAGAUAACGGAUACGAAUAUGAAUACGUAGAUAAGGGAAAUGAUAGAUAGUAUGGUAAAGUGUCUACGAAAUAUGUGAAAUUUGAAUUUUCUUUUAAUUCUUUACACAACUUUUACCAGCUUAAAUUCGAUGAUGGAAUCUAUGAGUGAGCUUCUUCCGAGCCAACACGUUUUGUUUAAUUUAAUUUUACAAAGCUGCUUGUAAAACAUAAUGAAAUUGAUUCUAAACUCUCUAGUUCUCCUUUAAAAGCCGCUUGUAAAAUAUAAUGAAAUUUUUUUCAAAGCUGCUUCGCGAAGCAUUUCUAUCAAGUUUGUUGUGUUUUUUAUUUAUUUAAUUUAUUCUUGUCCUCUUUAAAAAAAAAGAGGGAAAGCUGCACUUGUUGAUAUCAAUUUGCAAUCCGUGAAUUUUCGUAGAAAAGUAGUCCGUACUAUUUAGCAGCUCUCAUGUAGAUAAUUAGAUGAUAUUAAUGUUUCUAUCCACGUAAAUAUGGGUUUGAAUACGAGUAUUUUUUUUUUUUUAAAUGCAUAUAUGAAAAUAAAUACUUUAUUUUCCAAACUAGAUCCUAUUCCUAGCUGAGCUCCACUUGUUUAUAUCCUAAAUCAGUGAUUAUUAUUGAACCCCUAACCACAUGAAAAUGAAAUAUACUUGAUACUUCCACUCGUCCAUCAUAUAGACACAAAAUUACUACAUCGUCAUCGUCAUUCAAUACACAAUAGUGCAAGACCUGAUGGUAACAAUUGCCUAAGAAACAUAAUCAUCACAUAAUUAAUGGACCUUAGCUCAAUAACCUACCAAAAGGAAAGAUCAAAUCUUAUCAUAUAUGAAUAAAUUAAUGACUUUGAAAAUUCAAACUACUACACAGCAGUGGUUAGGACAUGCAUGUGAAGGAAGGCCCACUUAUAUAUAAUUAAAAAAACUAAUGAUAUCUUUUUGAUUGAUUAGUGAUGAAAUCUGGAUAAGUUUAAUUGAAAAAGAAGGAAUGGAACACCAUACGGUUGUUAAUUGUUGGUUACUUAAUUUAGGUACAUGCGUUCCUUACUUCCUUCCUUCCGGUUUCCUCAUCUAGUAGUAACAUCAAAAUCUAUGCCACACCAUAUCCUUAGUCAUACCAAAGUCUUUCUUUCCCAUUAUCGAGUAUUUGACCAACUAUAUCCACAUGACAUUUGACGUUGAAAACAUCACAUUAAGACAAAAAUAAUCACCGACUUUAUUUUGGAUAAUUACCGUUUUAAACCAACAAUAUGACACGUGGACGUGUAAGAUUUUGAAUCCUUAACUACUUUGUCGGAGACUUUGUUUACUCAAUCAUCUCUAUAAAUAUAGAAUGUAAGUAAGUAGCAGCACUAUCAAAACAUUAACAGUUUAUCACUUAUCAUUUCUAUCAAACGCGUAUACUUCAAUAUGGGUGCUCUUGAUCACAUCUCAGACCUCUUUGACUGCUCUUACAGAAGAUCCACAUACAAGAAGAAACGAAAGCAAUUCCAGGUAACACAAAAUUAAUCAACUCUUUUUAAUUCUAUUAAUUCGUAUUCUAUUCUAUGUAGUUACCGAUCGACUUGUUCAUAUUUUUUCUUCUUCAAAAUAAUAUUAUUGAUUUUCUUUAAAUCAACAUUUUCAUUAAAAUAUAAAUUGUUCGAACGAAGUAACUAGAAAAAAGCAGAUUAUUCUAAUACUCCUCUUCUAGAGGGAUCAUCUAAAAAGCAACGUGAUCCAAUCACCAUGAAUAUAUUAAGCAAGCUUGAUUUUUAGUUUUUGAAAGAAAAAAAAUUGUAUUAAAAUUUGAACCAUCUUAUCUCGACUCAAGAAUCAUCCAUGUAAUUCAUCCAACUGCGCGCAAUUGCAUGAAUUCAUUUUCAAUAUGUAUGUGACAAUUAUAAAUUAUUAUGCAGACGGUUGAGGUAAAAGUGAAGAUGGAUUGCGAAGGAUGCGAAAGAAAAGUGAAGAAAUCAGUGGAAGGGAUGAAAGGAGUGACACAAGUGGAAGUAGAUCGCAAAGCAAGCAAAGUAACAGUCACAGGCUACGUGGAACCUUCCAAGGUGGUGGCACGCAUGUCUCAUCGUACAGGGAAAAGGGUUGAGCUAUGGCCUUAUGUUCCAUACGAUGUUGUUGCACACCCUUAUGCACCUGGUGUUUAUGACAAAAAAGCACCAUCUGGUUACGUUAGAAACGCAAAUUAUGAUCCAAAUGUUUCAAAUCUUGCUCGUGCUAGUUCAGCUGAAGUUAGAUACACUACUGCUUUCAGUGAUGAUAACCCCACUGCAUGUGCCAUUAUGUGAUUCGACAUAGACCACCACCUUCAUCAAUCAUAGUUUCCUUUUUGUCUUCUUUAAUUUACUUUUAAUUAGUUUGUUUUUUUAGGGGAAUAUUAAUUAGUUUGAUUUUCUGUUAAUAUUAUUGUAUUGUACUUAAUCCCUAAAGAAAACAGUGUAAAAUAGGGUUAGGGACUAGGGAGAGGGAUGAUGCUUCCUUUCUCUUUUUUGAUUGAAAGGAAUGCUUUUGCUUUCGCUUUUCCAUAUUAAUUAAUUAGUUAAUGGAUAUGUAUCAGAUCAUGAUUUUGGUUCGAUGAAUUUUCAUUAGGUAUACCUUUUUUUUCUUUCUUUCUCCAAGCCUUAAUGCUUUUGAAUUAUAAAAAAUAAAGAUAAGUUUUCCGACCGUUUGAUUGUGAUCGAAUGAUCAUCGAUGUCCUAAAUAUGUGAAUGUGUGAUCCAACGAAUGUAGGGAAUCGUCGUCUUUUUCAUUCAUCCAAAAAAAAUCUUAAAAAAGCAUUAGCUUGUCAAUAUUAUAUGAGUAUUACUUUCCCCACCCUAGAGGAUUCUCACGCGCCCUGUGUUUUUUCCAAAAAUGCCCUUGAGGUUUCCAGAUUUCAUAAUCCGGAAUCAUGUUUACUAUUUCGGAUUUUAUAAUCCGGACAAUUCUUAUGUAUAAUCAGCCAUCAGAAUCUUUCACAUUUCAGUAGUUUUGAGUUUUGCUUUUAAAAACAAAAAAAAAAAAAUUAAGUAAAAAAUGCUAAAAACCUGUCAAAUAAAAUCAUAAAAAUACCACCAAAAAAUUCUAAAAAUCAAAUAAAACUAGUGCAAAUUUUUUUAGAUUUUUCUGAGAAUAUGAAUAAUUAAAAAACAAUGAAAAAUGGGUCUAAACAAUGAUUUUGGUUUAUUGUGUUUUAACAUUCCCCGACCUUGAGGGAGUGCAAGGUGCUCAACUAGGCCGGGCCUCCAAAUGCUACGGGCCUAAAAAAAUAUUAAGACUAAUACCCAUCCCCCUGUUAAAUAAAAAAAAUAUGUUAUAUAAUUUUCUUUCUUCAGUACACGUUUGAGUUUUUUUCUAGAUUCUAGUUCUCCUUUUUGUACAUAAAUUUGAUCCUAUCAAACCACCCCUAAUUUGUAUAAUCACUUAAUUAGUCAAUUUGAAAAGCUACUUCAUUGAAAGAAUCACAUCAAUCAUUUUUUUCUUCGCAUAAAUCAUUCGCUUUACCCUUUUCCACAACAGAGUAGUGACAAAUCCAAACAACACCGUUAGAUAAAUUUCACCUCUUUCACUUAAUUUUUUUUAAUUCCUUUCAUGUUUAGAAGUUCUUCUGAUUCUGAUUUUUUUUUAAUGAAGUUUAACUACACAAAAAAAUUACGUUUUAUUUUACUAGGGGCCUAUUUUAAAAUGAGAGCCGAGCCUCCUAUUUCACAGGGGACGGCAUGUUCUUCUUUGAUAUGUUUAUGUGUCGUUGAUUAAAAAUGACACUUCAGGUUGGUGAUAUGAUCCAUUGCGUCUACUUGUACGCUCCUUCUCCAAGAAGGUGGUGUGCCUACAAAAGACACUUCGACGUCAAUGUAAGGUGAUGUUCUAGUAGGUAGCAUGCGUAUAAAAGUGAGGUGAUCAUACAUUCAUACCUAUGGGUGAGACACCUAUUUAUAGUGAUGUGUUCUUCUUAUGAUACACUUCAUGUUGUUGUUCUUAGUCCUACAACUUGGUACAAUCCUUUAUCCAAUCAAGUUUGUUUAAAGUAACUGAUUAUGAGAUUGGAGAGGGCGCCUACCCGAUUUGAAUGAACUCCUUGAUAGGAACAGUCUAUUGAUCAUGUGAUUGUUUUUUGGUACCUAAGGCGAUGCAAGAGGCAUAGUCAUGUGCUGCAUUCAGGUAUGAGACAUGUGAUAUUCUUAAGGUGGUGUAAGAGGUUUGAUCAUGUGUAGCACCAUGCUAUAAGAUGAGGUGAUCACCUUAUAUGAGCUUGGAUAUAUUCCUAGUAUUGAGAACUAUGCCAUGUUCAUCAUGCACAUUCAUUUUGGACAACCAAGAGGGUGAUCCACACUCAAGUCUGCAAUGGAGAUUGAAUAUAAAUUAUUAUGUAACAUUCAAGAAAGAAAUGUUUUCUAAUAUAUCUUUUGUGUGCCCUUUUUUAUAUAUAUACUUACGCUUUUAUUAGAUAUAUAACAUGUUACCAAAGGAUUAGGUAAAUGCAUGUCUUUGAUGUCUUAUAUAUGAUGUAAAUGUUAAUUCAUGUUUAUACUUUACACAUUCUAGGGUGAUAAUAUGUCUAUAGAUUCCUUGUCAUGUCUUCUUGAUGUUAAAACAAACUUCCAAGUGUCAACUAUAUGCUCAUGCAUACAAACAUGCCAUGGUAAGGCAAGUGUAAAUCUGACAUUGCGUGUCAUCAUGUUUUAGAUGAUAUUGAGCCUCAAAUGCAUGCAUGUUCAUACAUUUAAUGACACUCAUUCGCGAUUAUAUAAUAAAAUGUGCAAGACCUUUUUUCUUCUUAUGUAUGCCCUGCCAUUCUUUAUUUCAACUAUCAUCACUCUUUCGUUGCUUAUGUAUGCGCGUUUGAGAAAAUGCAAUUUCUAGGUCAUGGGAGUCAUAUAUGUCCAAGUUUACAUGUCUGCUCGAAACCUAGGAUUUUUGUACCCUUCUAGGUGACUCAAAUAUGAGAAAUGGAUAACACUUAGGUUUUAGAAACAUAGGGUUAUAUUGGUUUAAAUAUGUAAUUGGUCCCUCGAAAUAUGGGUCACUUGAGUUUUGGUCAUUGUAAUUACUAAUCAUUUCAACCAAACUCUACAAUUCCUAAUCACUGAUUUUGUUGUAAUUUGGGGCCUAACUCAUCCUUACAAAAUCGGUUUGUGAGGUGAGGAUUGCCCCCACUUAUAAACACAUUGUCAGGCCAUGUCCUAUCCGAUGUGGGACUCUUAACACCCCCCCUCACGACCAGCACUAUUGGGCUUGGUUCGUGGACAUAAACAGUGGGUGGUCCGAUAGCAGAAACCUGAUAGCAAGUGGUCCAAUGGAUCUUGGAGAGGCUCUGAUACCAUGUUGUAAUUUGGGGCCUAACUCAUCCUUACAAAAUCGGCUUGUAAGGUGAGAAUUGCCUCCUCUUUAUAUACUCUUCUCAAGAGUCUUAUCUAUCCGAUGUGGGACUUUGGUUUUUCCCAAUACACCCCUCACGCCCAACACUCUUUGGGCUUGGUGCGUGAAUAGGUUUAGGCGGCCCUUGAAUUCGACAAGCUCUGAUACCAUGUUGUAAUUUGGGGCCUAACUCAUCGUUACAAAACCGGCUUGUGAGGUGAGGAUUGCCCCCACUCAUAAACACAUUGUCAGGCCAUGUCCUAUCCGAUGUGGGACUCUUAACAGAUUUCACAGAAAUGCCCUUUAUCGUUCGAGACAAAUAGGAAAAGUAAAAAAAAAAAAUACUCUAAUGUCUAAAAAAACAAAAUGAAAAGGCACACAUCUUCAUCUUCUUUAUCAUCUCUUCACAUGAAUCUUCAACAAAAAAUCCAACGCUUCAAUCCAAAAUCCAGAAAUUCCCUAACUUCUUCUCACUCACCCAAUAACCCGUUUCACACUUGAGAAGAAAAAUGUAGAAGUCAAAAGCCAACAUUAAAGAUGAACCAAAAAUCAUAUUUCUAAAAAUCAAAACUUUAUCAUUGUACAACAACUCUUUAACCUCAAAACCAUGUCUUCAUCAUUGUUCAUUCUCUUCUUCACAAUUUUCACUUUACGGACAACUUUAACUUCAUCCAAGCUGAAGAAGACAACAAAGAUAUCUAUAAUGACCAAUUUUUAAUGCAUCAUUAGUCAUAACCAUUCAACACCAUAACCAACAGAAAUAAUUAAUAAUUCAAAAUCUAAAUUCAAUUCAAAUUUCAAUUACUCCAACCAACAUACCCAAACACAAGAAGGAUAGAUUUAAAAAAGGAUAAGGAAGAAGAGUAUAUUGAAAAAACACUACCCAUUUUGGCUUUCUUACCAUCAAAUCUAUUGUUUUGUUCGAUGUGUUUUCUCGAAAAUGAGCUCAAAGACCAUAUUGAAAGUAUAGUUUUAAAAAUUGGACUGGUGAUCAAAUCGUCAUUAUUAUUGGAUCAGUAGGUCAGUGGUCGAACCACUGGAUCAAUGAUCGGACUACAUGAUGAAUCAGAUGACUUGAUAGUAUCACACAAUUUCUAAAAUAUAUUUUUUUGUAUUGAACUAUGUUAAACCGGUUGACUUGGUCUAUAAAACAAUUAUAACACUUAUAAAAUGUUAAUAAAAAUAACUUUAUAUAGACCUUAACUUACCACUUUAGUUUAAUAUUUUCUUGAAGGGUAAUUUAGUAAGUAUAUAGCAUUCCAAAAAGACAUGUAUAUUUAUUUAUAAAUAAAAUAAUUUUUAAUUACAAUUUAAUGUUCUUGUCAAAAAAAUAUACGACUUAAUAAUGUUUUAUAAUCAAAUUAAAUAUGGGUAUAGCAAUAUAAAUAAGACAAAUUCUACGGUACACUCAAUAAAUUUGGGUGUAUCAGUACACCAAGUCGUUAAAUUAAUAAUAAAUGAAUUGUUUUUUUGAAGAAAAAUAAUUAUUUUCUAUCAUUGACAACUAUAAUAAUUAAAUUUUAUUUACCAAAAACUUCGACGAAAUAAAAUUUAAUUUUUACAAAUUUUUAUUACUCAUAACAAUGAAUAUUGAUUAUUUUGUAUGACAAAAUGUAAAUUUUUUUAAUAUAAUCUUUAUAAACAAUGAAAUCAUGUUUUUUCUUAUGAAAUGAUGUUUUCUAAAAUAUAAAUAUGGACAAAUAGCUUUUUAUUUCAUAUAAAUGAUCAUUAAUUUAUAAAUUUUGUGGAACAAGAGUACCGGUACACUAAAAUAUAUGAGUGUACCGUAGAAGUUGCCUAUAAGGAUAAUACAUGUCAGAAAUGUUAUUAAAAUACGCUAGUUUGGUGGCAUAAUUUCUCCUAAUGGACUGGAUUCGAUUCCCUUGCUGGCCAUUUUUAUCAUAUCAUUUUUAAGAAAAUUAAAGCGCUGGCUUCUUAUCCAUUGAACCGGUAAGUGUCGGUUUUCACUGUUAUGUAUCCGGUUCGCAGUCCAAUUGGUUAGACCGGCCGAUCCGGAUUGAUUUUUAGAACUAUGAUUGAAAGUGAUUAAUAAGGACAUGGUUUGUUUGAAAGGAUUAGUUAUAAGGACCAAAACUUAAGUGACCAUUAUUUUCAAGGACGAAUUGCAUAUGUAAGCCGUUUGUAUUUUAUGAAAAUCAAUUUUUUAGUUAGAUAACCUUUGUGAUUGUCUCUACCUGAGUUGAAGUGUAAAAUGUGGCAUGAUUAAGCCUCACUUUUGAAAAGAACGUUGAUAUGUCUAUGUUCAUUUUAGGCCCAGAUGUAUAACUAGACUCUAGAACUAUCAUAUUUUAUUUUAUAUUUCAAAAUGGGGUUUGAGUGUUAGUUAGUGGUAUCGGAUUUCGGUCUCUGAAGUUAAGUCAACCUUGCGUCAGUUAGAAGUCAAUACAAUAUUAGUCAAAUUUCUCGAUUCAGUUGUACCCAUGUUCGUAUUCUUAUGUUAAAUGAGAUUUUUUUUUAAAAAUGUUCAUUCAAAUGCAUGUUAAUUGAAUAAUUGUUGCAUUGUAAUGCUAAUGCAUUUCUUAUCUCCAUGUAUUUAGUUUGAAGCCUAAUUUUUGUUCGAUGAACAAGUGAUCUAAAAGAUCUGUGAAUAUGUGCUAUGUGUGCUUAUAGUCUAAAAUUCGUUAAAUGUUAUCCUUGACUUCGUAUGAAAAGUUAGACUGAGUUUCAUUGAUCAAAUGUAUUCAUGAUCUAUUGAUUACCAUUAUGCGACUCAAAGAGUUAAAUAUGUCUCAAAGAUAGAAACUCAUAUAGACAUUCACUAGAGUACACCCACUCAAUUUUUAGAUCAAGUACUUGGUAGGUGAUUAUUAUAAUUUUAUAAAAUAUACCCCAAAGUGCAUGAUUCCAAAAUAAUUAUCCAUAAAUUAUAUCUUUUAUUUGCACCCCUACCACGAUUACGUGGAUCAAACUUAGUAGUGAUAUGAGAUAAAAAUUUGUCUGAAUGGUUAGUUUGAUUUCACAACAAAGACUUGAAAUAUUUGCAAGCAUCUAACAAUUGUCAAGUUGAGGCUGAACCAAAAUAACAACAUUAUUUUCUUAAUAUCAAAUAGCAAUUUUUUUACAAAAUAAAUGAAACAUCAUGAAACUAAAUUAAACUCAUAAAUAUCAUAUUGAUAAUCAUCAUAGCAUAGAUGAGCUAUUGUAAUAACAUUUUUGACAGUAAUAUCAAUUUUAAAUCGAAUUCUGAAUCUCGAUAAUACCCUUCUUUGCCAUUCCACAAAUUGGACAAGUUUGGAGUAAAGCAUUACAUGCUUUGCAUGAAGAGAGAUGCCUACAUGGCAGAAAUAAGACACCAAGAGUGUUUGUCUUACACUUUGAACAAAACACAUUGUUUUCACGUCUUACACGCUUUUCAGCUCUGACUUCUUCCUUUUCACCACAACUUGAUUCCGCGUCAUUUUCCACCAACAUCCUUACUCUCUUCUUCUCCUCUUCCAACUUGGUAUGCAAAGUUAGUACCAUCGCUCCCCUUUCCAGAGCUAUUCCCUUCAAUUCCCUUUUUUCUGCCUCUAAUUUUCUUAAUAGAUUUUCCAAAUCUAGUUUUUUCUUUACAACUUUUGCAAUUUCUUCGUUCUUUCUUGUUAGAAUUUGUUGUGAAUAAAUUUCCAUACUUCUAAAUGUAGCCACUUGUUGCUCUGUAUGUUGUUGUAACAUGAAUUUUAUUUGAUCAUUCUAAUACAAAAAAAAAAAGGUAAUUAGAACGGACAAAGGAAAAUAUAUUUUCAAAACCAAAAUAAAAGAAUAAAUAAAUAAAGUUAGAAAAAGAUUCAUGAAUCAAGAGCCUCUUGAAAGGUUCAUCUCAAAGAGAUUAAGACUCGUUUUAAUAAAAUAUAUUAUUUUAUGAGCCAUUCUCUCUCUCUCUUUUAAAAUGGGUCUUGAUCCCAACUCAUGAUACAUAUAAAUUUUAACCUGUAUAUUGAUGAGCUCGUGUGUUUCCUGCAUUUGUUUCUCGAAAAGAGCAGCAAGGGCAGGGGAAAUUAAGACGUUUGAAGCAUGAACAUGAGAAUUGAUAAUGGGAACAACAUUCCCCUGCCACUGUUGUUGAUUUUGUGGUGGUUGUUGUUGAUAAUAUUGUGGAGGUUGAAGUUGUUGUAACUCUACGAGUCCACCUAAGUAAAGGUCAUUGACAUAGAAAGGAAAUACAUUAUUUCCGUGAGAGGGUGGUUGCAUGGCCAUUAUUUCAGAACCAACCUUGAUGAAACAAAUUCAUAAACAAGAUUUGAUUAAAUCUAAAUGUUUUAAGGAUGGUUCUUCGUAGUAGGGAGUGGUUUUUUUCAUACUACAUGUUAGUGGUGGUCAAAGGCAUACAUGUAUAUAUAUAUACCAACAAAACCGAUUAAACAAAUAGUUCUUAAGAGUAUAUCUUGGAAGUUUUUGUUAAUAUGUGUUGCUAAAUUUCUUUUUAACUUUAUAUAAUAUUAUAUAUUAUUUUUUGUAUUUCUAUAUGUAUACCUAUCCUCUGAGCAUUAAAAUGGGCGUGGGAUGCGGUAAGCAACAACGUAACCCAUACAAAAUUUGUGGUUAAACGGACCAUAGAUUUUAAAGGUGUUUGUAUGAGUCAAACACAUUGCGUAUCAGAGAAAUAAAAUACACUCCCAAAGAUUUGUCUGUUUCUUUAUUUAAAAUGGGAUGAAUUAAUUCAAUUUAAGACGUUAUUUAUUAGUGAAAAAAUAGUAGUCUAGAAUAUACUUUUUUUAGUCUUUUCUUCUUCUUCUUAUUAUGAUAUAUUUUUAGUCGUUUUCUUCAUUGGUAAUAAGCGCACACGAAUUCAUAGUUAUAGAUUUUGUCCUAUGUUAAUGUUAUUAUUAUGCACACAUAUGUUAUUUUCCAGAAACAAACCAACUCUCGAUGUUACUCUCUAAUGUUGUACUUUUUAACACAUCAAUAGUAAAUAUUACUAAUUUAUUGUAUUCAUAGUGACUCAUGUUAUAUCUAUGUCAUUCAACAAUAGUAAGUUUUUGACACAUUUCUAGACCUAAAAACAAAGACACAAAAUGAUGUUAUAAAAUAUUUUGAUCGUGCUUGAUCAGAAGGUGACUAUCGAAUGCAGUUGAAUAUGGUGGUUGUAUGCCUUUGCUGGUUGAAUGUAACGAUAUGUGGUGUGUACUUGCAGACACCCCGACGCUCAAGUCAGUAUUGAGUUAAAAAUGGGGGUUGAAAAAGUUAGAAGAGUCUAACCUUGGGGAUGGUUGGGAGUCCCCUUUAUAUUAAGAGUGGGUGUUGCAGGAGUUGUUGUUUGGCACAUGUUGGGCUCGACGGUUACAGAUUCGUGGGAAUUGUAACCGUCGAGCGAGAUUGCGGGAGCGUGGGGUGAGACGUAACUCUUUGGUUUGAAUGAGUCUUCGGUUGCUCCGAGCACCCCCUUGCAGGGAGGUGUGUUGUGAGUAAUAUACUAAAUGCUGGAUUUGAGUCAUUUUGUAUUGAGCCUAUGUAAAUGAGCCUUUGAUCAUUUGCUCGGUCCAAAAUAUAUUUAAAGGAUCAUUGUUUGAAGAGAAAUUUUCGUGAAGUUAAAAACAAAACUUGAUAUAUUUAUAGAUAUGAGAAAUAGUAACACACAUUUUUCAACAUACUCUCUUGGAUUAAAAAAUGAGAAUAACAUAUGAUACAUAUCGAUACAAUGAUAAUGAGUUUUGGGAAGAAGAAUUGUGCAGCCCAGAAAAGCCCAAGCCCAGCCCAAUCCAAUCCAGCAAAAGUGUAUGUUUUUGUCACUAUAAAAACCAGUGUCUCAUUUCUCAAGAAGCAUUGGCGCGAAUAGGGUAUAGAAUUCUUGAGAAAAACAAAAAUGGCGGAAGAAUACGAACCCGAAAACGAAGCAGAGGUUGAAGAAGAAUUCUCCGUUUGGAAGAGAAACACUCCUCUUCUCUACGAUCUCUUCAUCUCACACCCUCUCGCAUGGCCUUCUCUUACUGUUCAAUGGCUUCCUUCACCUCCUCAACCCCACUCCAACUCUUCCUUUAACCUCCACAAACUCCUCCUCGCCACCCACACUUCCGAUGAAGAACCCAAUUACCUCAUGCUCGCUGAAUCCACUCUUCCUGGAAACCCAUCUCAACCCAUCAUCGCCACAGAUCCUGAAAACCCUAUUCUUCCCAAGGUUUUUGAUUUUUUUUCUUCUUGUUUUUGUUUUAUGGGUACCAACUGUUUGAUGAAAUGCCUGAAUGAUGUUUGUUUUUUUAGGUUGAGAUUACUCAGAGGAUUCUUGUUGAUGGGGAGGUGAAUAGGGCGCGGGCUAUGCCGCAGAAUGCGAAUGUCGUUGCUGCGAAGACCUGUAAUUCGGUGGUUUAUGUGUUUGAUUUCACUAAGAAGAGAGGGGAGGGUUGUAAUCCUGAUUUUAGGUUGAAGGGUCAUGAGAAAGAAGGGUAUGGGUUAUCUUGGAGUGGUUUUAAGAAUGGGUAUCUUUUGAGUGGUUCUAAUGAUCAUAAGAUUUGCUUGUGGGAUGUUUUUGGUGCUUCUGAAAGUAAUGUGCUUGAUGCUGUUCAUGUUUAUGAGGUAAUGAUGAGAAUCAAUUCAGUGAUCUUUGGACUUGUUCUGCGAUUAAUUGUUGUUUUGAUGAUGGAAUCAUUGAACUUUUGAUUUUGUGUUUCAGGGACAUGAAAGUGUUGUUGAAGAUGUGUCUUGGCACUUUCACAAUGAGAAUUUAUUUGGAUCUGGUGGAGAUGACUGCAAGUUGAUAAUCUGGGACUUGCGGACAAACAAAGCCCAGCAUUCACUCAAACCCCAUGAAAGGGAGGUAAUGAUGUUACUUCAUAAUCUUUGUGUAGGCUAGGCUAUUCUUCAUCAAUCAUGUAGUAUAGUAUGGUAGAAUUGCAUGUUGUCUAUCAAUUAGAAUUUCCUUUAUUUAUUAGAUUAUGAACAACCAAUUUUGGUUUUGGAUGCUAUAGUUUUGCUAAAAGCUGCAAUUAAUUUGGACCAUGAUGGUAUUAUACAUGGUGUUUGAUGAUGAUUGCUGUUUAGGACCCUCAAGUUGCUCAACCGGAGACAUUUUUAGCAAAAGAAAAUGCCUAUUGGAAACAUGCGUUCCGAGAGUAACUCACCAUCGGAACUUAAAUUCCGAUAAAUGGGGGGCUUUUCCUGCAAAAAUGGGGGUCAAUAGAGAAGUUACCUUGUUUGAUUAUGUUUUCAGUUUUUGUAGAUUUUCACUGCUUUCUUUAGUUUAGCUGAAACAGUGAAACAUACUCAUGAGUCGUGACUGAUGUCUGUUUGUAUUUUUGCUGGAAUAUCAUUUGUCACUCACAGUGUAAUGUUGUAUGCUCAUUUUUGUUUCGAACAGGUGAACUUUGUUUCUUUCAGUCCUUAUAGUGAAUGGAUUUUGGCUACAGCAUCCUCAGACACCGACAUCGGUCUCUUUGAUUUACGGAAGCUUGAGGUGCCGCUGCAUUUUCUAAGUAGCCACACGUACGACCUUCAUCUAUCACGGAUUCAUGUUGUGUGUUUUUCUUUAUAUUACUAUCUUGUAGUUGAUGGAUCAACUAAGUAUUUUUUGACCUUUAGAUUCAAUUUUGUAUGUGAUAACUGAUAAGUUCUUAUCUUUGGAAAUUCCAGUGCCUUUUACUCACGUAUUUGGUUUAUUUUUCAAUGUGUAGAGAUGAGGUAUUCCAGGUAGAGUGGGAUCCUAACCACGAGGGAGUGUUGGCAUCUUCUAGUGCUGAUAGAAGGCUAAUGGUUUGGGACCUUAACAGGUAAAAGAAGACACUCCUAUGGAAUUCUUUGUUUCUUUUUCUUUCUCAGAGAAUUGUUAUGUUUAAGUUAUUCUACUUCUUUAAGUUCAAUUAUGAUUUUGUAGAUGACGACUCAGGAUUGAAAUAGGCUUUUAACAUUUUACCAUGCUUUAUUUUCAUGACGACUCAGGAUUGGGGAUGAGCUGAUAGAGGGAGAUGAAGAAGGUGGUCCUCCUGAACUACUCUUCUCUCAUGGAGGUCACAAAGGAAAAAUAUCAGAUUUUUCAUGGAACCAAAACCAGCCAUGGGUAAUUUCAAGUGUAGCUGAGGAUAAUUCUUGCCAUGUCUGGCAAAUGGCUGAAAGCAUUUACAAUGAUGGCGAUGAUGACAACAAUUGGAUGGGUAGUGACCAGCACUAACUAGAAGAAGGCUCAAAGACGACAGUUUUACAGCCAUUGCUUUGUUGUUUUGUUUGUAUGUUUUGUGAACAUUUGACUUUACCAGUUUUAUGUUGUUAUAUGUGAAUGUAUUGUGCUUAUUGAAACAAUGGUGGUGGCAUCAUAUUAUAAUCGUCAGAAGCUUUCAUAACCUGAACAGAUGUAUCAAACGUGAAAAAGGUAUUGGUUCAACAAGCUAAAGUAACAUUAACUAACCUGGGGAUAAGAAAUUGGAUAUCUCAGUGUUACUUUAGUGAGUUAGUCCAUAAGUUGAGUGCGUUACUUUUGUCCAUUCUCUGUUAUUGCAAAAAUUGAUUCAGAUGCACAGAAAAAAACAUCUACUGUGUCCCAAGAGGGAAGGUUGCUUUUAGUGGAGGAGGUAGUGUAGAGUCCAAAAUAGAAAAAAAGUACACUGGCAAAGGAAUCAGUUAAGACUGAGGGGAACAAACAGUUUGAUGAGAUUAGUCUCUAUGGGUUGCGUGCAGAUGAUACCGGUUUAUAGAAAGAAAAAAAAUGACUCUUAUUAAACCUUUUGUGAUAUAUGAAAUAAAAGUCAUACAAUAUUAUUAUAGAAAGAAAGGUAUAAAAACAACAAUGCAAUUCAAUGUUUGUAGACGGGUAUGAGUUUCAUCUCCCUCAACUUAGCCACCCAGAAUCUGAUACUCUUAAACGUAUCUGCAUACUCAAAGAACCCAUAAUCCUUACUUUUGUUCAUACUAGAUACAUGUUGAAACUGAAACCGCAGAACUGGCACCGUUGCUUCAAAGGAAGCAAUUUCCUCCAAUUUGGUCUUAUGAAGCCCAUAUUCCUCCACAAUCAGGUCCCAAAUCUCACCCUUAUCACGCAUUAACUCCACCAAAUCAAACUCUUCCUUGUCAUUCAACUCCACAAACUUAACAUUAAAAACCUCACUAAGCAACAUCCACAUACUCUUCCAAGUGAAAACAUCACCAUUUGUGCAAUUGAAAGCUUGGUUCUUCGCAUCUUCUGUAACUGCAGCCCACACAUGUUGUUUUGCAAGCACGCCCGCAUCCGUCAUAUCACAGAAAUGCUCCCAAGUGUAUUUGUUUCCUGGAUAACGAAAAGGUAACCCUAAAUGGUGACAUAUGGCAGCAUAUACUGCUAGCUUCAUUAGCACGUUGUGUGCACUCCUUGGUGACAUACCUAUUAUGAUAGAUGAUCGAUGUAUCGAGUAUGUAACCGAAGGGGCAUAGGAUGUAACUAGAUCCUCAAGCACGUAAUAGAAAUUUGGGUAAGGGAGUCGUGGCAUAUUCUCAUGAAAAGGUGGUUCGUGGCAUAUAAGUUUGGUGGACAGAACUGGAUCAUGAACCGGACCCAUGUAAUGUUUGGUUCCGGUUUGGAGUGUUAUAUGGAUGAGAGAGGAAGAUGGAGAAGAUUUGAGGACAGUGAGAACAUUAAGAAGCAUGGUUUUGUUAACGGUGAUGUUAGCUUCUUCGUCACCUACAAACUGGAAUGUGACCCAGAAGAGGUGGGUGACUUCUUGGACUAGUGGUAACAGCUUGUCAUGUGUGUCAGCUGAGUUGACAGCGUCAAAGGUGAUGAAGCCAUCAAGGAUGGAAGAGGGAAACCAGCCGUCGGCGGAGCGGCGAGCUGCACCGUAAACUUUCCAUGGGCCUCCAAGACAAUCAGGCUGCUUCAAGGCUUUGGCUAGGCUUAGCCCAGCCAUUCCCGUUACUCCAACCACUAGUGCUACGGAAUUUCGUACAUUCAUCACUUCACAGUGCUAUAAUGGAGAAAAAACUUAGUGGCGGUGUCUGUUUAUAUAAAAGCAUUAGUGUAUUGACGGGUGAUUAGUGAUGUUACCUUGCAAAUAAUUAUAUCAAAAAAUAAACAAAGUGGAUGGAUAUGCUAAUUGAAUCUGGGUGUUUUUUCCUAUAGAAAAUUAUAGAUUAUUAAUCGGUGGUUGAUAAGAUAAUGUUUGCAAAUUUCUGUGACUCAUAGAACAUGACCCAUAUGUUUGUUUACCUAGUGAAGACAUUUUUUUUAUAAAACUCGUGUUUUUUAAUCCUUUAUCACUGAUUGGCAAUUGGAUCUGCCUUGACAAUACCUAACACCGAUUGGGAAAUUGAUCUUUGAAAAUCACCGAUAUAAAAUAACUUUGGAAUUCGAUCUUUAAACAUUAGUGCGAGUUUUCGAUAUCACUUAUUUUUAUUUUUUUGAAGAAGCUAAAAUGGAAUAUAUGCUGGAAAUUUCAGCACAAGAAGUGCAAAAACCCCAACUAAAAGAGUAUCAAAUUACAACCAUAAAACAAAGGGUAACAAAAUAAAAGAUCAAAUGACAAAAUCACCCCACUAUAAAAACUAGUGAGAUACUGUUGCCAUGUCGCUCAACUCCAUGCUUGAAAAAUUAAACACUGUUAAUUUUGCUUAAUUUUUUUUAACACCAUCGGAGUUCAACUAAUAAUAUGAGAAAAUGUUUGUCCUAUAACAAAAAAUUGUUCACAACUAACUCUAGUUUUCCUUUGAUUGCCUAACAUUCCUAGACCUAAAUGGAACCAAUCCAAUCACAGUAAAUUCAAAUGAAUAAAAAAUUAUUUUACUUGAAACACUUUGAUAUUAGACUGGAUAUCAAACAUACACUAAAUCAUCAAGCGAGUCUCAUUUUCUAUUCAAGUGAAAAUCCAUUGCUAGUCUUUCUCUUUUAACUAUUCCAACAAAUCAUUUCUCAACAAAUACAUCAUUGUUAACCACUUCACCGUUAUUUGUGAGGCGCUGGCUAUUUUUCUCAUCAUACAAUGUGAAAGGCAUGCCUUCAUCUUGAAGCCACACUUUGCUGUAUAAUACAUACGUUUACUAAGCAACUUCUUUUAGGGUCAAAAUUCCGUAUAUAUUAAUAAACCAGACGGCAUAGUGGAGGAAAAUUGUAACAGACUUUGUCUACAUCGGUCAAUGGUGAGCAGCAUUUCGAGUGAGCGAUACAAUCACACAACAUUUAAUUAAUCAUGCCAAGCCAAAAAGUUCAACAUGAGGCUCUUUAAUUAGCGAAAUCAUUUCAAGUCGGUUUCUCUAAGAGCAAACAAAGGAGAUAUGCUUCCCAUCUCACUCUAACGGUAGCAAAGUUCCAUUGUCAACCGAAACAGCCACUAGUGUCCUCAAACACAAAACAAGUCACUUGCUUGCCUUAACUUGUUAAAGACAAAAACCCGCACCGACAAUCUUCAGUUAGAGAACAACAGUUCUUUCCGAAAACAAACUAGUCAACCCUUCUCUAGCAAAAUGUGAUCUAGUGUAUGUGAUCGUAUAUGUUUAUUUAAUCCAAUGCUUAAAUUGAGUGGUACAUAUAUGAAAGACUUAACUGAGUCCUCGUCAUAGAAACCAAUGGGACUUCUUAAAAACCAUAUUUUCCUUUACCACUCAUCACUUGGCAAGAAAGACAUCAGAGGGUAAUUUUGAAUUCAAGGACUAUCAUUAGGGGUGAAUGUACACAUUCCAUUUUUUUUUUUAGCAAAAAUGUAUGUACACAUUCCUGAAGUCUUAUUAAAAUGUACUUGACUUAGUCAUCCCAAGAGGGAGGAUUUUAUAAACAUCCAACAUAGCUAUCCUAACUUCAACCUCAAGAUAAGGUUGCUUUUAGUGGAGGAGGUAGUGUAGAAUCCAAAAUAGAAAAAAGUACACUAGCAAAGGAAUACGUUGGGACUGAGGGGAACAUACAGCUCAAUGAAAGUAGUCUCUGCAGUUGCGUGCAGAUGAUACUGGUUUAUAGAAGAAAAAAAAUGACUGUUAUUAAAAGUUUUUGUGGUAUACAGAUGAAAUAAAAGUCGAACAAUAUUAUUACAGAUAAUGCAAUUCAAUGUUGGUAGAAGGGUAUGAGUU
rnacentral:lncRNA from 1 species